rnacentral:lncRNA from 1 species
AACUCUGCCUCGCUCUAGCGACCGAACAAAAUGCCGACCUAGAAUGCGUACCCUCACCGUAUAUCGUAAGAACUCCCCCACUAGGGUCUCGUAUGGUCACCAGCUAUCGCUCGCAGUUGAUAACUGCUCCAAAUCUGCUCAACCAGUCCAUGCCCAUGAUGACACAGACAUCUCUCAUCGCAAUAGGGACUAGAUCAAUCGGGAACUCAACACCAAAGAUCUCGAGUACACAUCCUCGGAUCACCUCCAUGGCAUAAACCGCCCUCUCGUUAGCUAUGGAAACUCUCAUAGGUUGACUCAAUGCCUCUUGACUAAUACUGAUGUGCUGACUAAAAGCCAAAGAUACAAAAGACCGACUCGUACCUGAGUCAAAAAACACCAAGGCAGGUACAGAACUCACAAGAAAAGUACCUACGCAUAGCAUAAUAUAAGUGUUGGGUUUUGAGCAUUUUAACACUCCUAAGUGUACAUGCAACCCCAAAUACCUUGGAUCUAUGUUUUCUCUAUUAUACAUACAAAUAAGAACAUCCAAGGUAUAAUCCUAAUCUAGCAUACAAAAACAAUGAGUGUAACAAGAUAGAAUACAUACCUCUUUGAUGUAGAAAGUCUUCAUGAAGCUUGAGUGCCUAGCCCCAAUAGUGUGGAAGCCUCAAAUGGAAUCACAAUCACCAAAACACUUAGAAUAGCUUGAGAGAAUUCUACAACUCAUGAAAUCGGCUAGCCCUUUCUUACUCUCACUCUAGUGGCCGAUUUGGUCAAGAAUAAGAUGCUUAUAUAGUUAGGGUUACACCAUGUAAACCCUAAUUGACAUGGCCUUUCAUUUCCAUGAUCCAUGGGUACAAAUACACCAUGGAGCAUCCAUGGACCAUCCUAUGGGUUUUAGCCCAACUUGAUUAUCCAUGGAGCAUUAGCCCACUAUACAAGUAUGGAUGAUUUACACAAUCAACCCAUAUAUUUAAUUAGUCUUCUUUUUAUCACUUAAUUAAUCCUAGAUUAAUUCUUGAUCAAUACUAAUUAAAUAAUCUUAUUAUUCUUAUUAUUAAUAUACUAGAACUUAUAAUAUAUUAAUAACCAUAAGUGUCUUAUUUCUCUCAUUAUAUUAAUAACUUGUCGCACUUGCCACAAGUGCAACCCUUCUGGUUCCCUGUCCUCGAAUUAGCGGGUUUGGCCCGCUUGGCUGUCGGCUGAGACUGUGUCGGUCGUGUAUCCCUCCCCUGAGACUCUGCCUCCUCCCUAGCCCGAGUCUCCAGCUCUAUCUCCCUCUUUCGAGCAUUUUCCUGAAGCUCGGAAAAUGUCCGGUACGACGAGUUCGCCGCAAACUCUCGUAUAUCCCUCCUUAAAAUGCUCAGAUAUCGGCUCAUACUUGCCUGCUCGGAAGACACGUGCUCUGGGCAAAACAUCGCCCUCUCAUGGAACAUCCUGGUAAUCACUGUAACAGACUCAGUACCAUGCUUGAGGGUCAGGAAUUCCUGGGCCAAUCGCUCCCUCUCCACCUGGGGAAAAUACUCCUCUCGGAACAUAGCGGUGAACCUAUCCCAGGUCACUGCAGCAAGCUUAGCAGGCGAAUAGUGCAUCAUCAGAAACUUCCACCAGUCCUUCGCUCGCAAACGAAGCUGGUUCAGCGCGAAUUGAACCCUCAAAUACUCUGGACAUGAGCAUGUGAAGAAACACCCCUCAAUGUCCGAAAUCCACCUCAUCACCGCAAUCGGAUCUUGCGUCCCAUCAAACUCUGGUGGUUUUGUGUUGCUGAACUCCCGGAACAGCAACGCAUCACCACCCUACGGUCUACCCGCAGCUACAGCUGCGGUGACCGCAGCAACAACAACAUUAGAAAGAGCAGCAUAUCGCUCAUCAAAAGUCUCUAUCAGCGUGGUCUUGAUAGACCCAAACAUCUCUGGUAUCUCUGCCCUGAUGGCCGCAGCCACCUCCUUGUGAAUGAUCCUACGGAUCUCCUCAUCACUAGCACCGCUGCUCUCUGGUGUGUGGCGUGUCCCAACCAUGAUGUCUCUGAAAUUCAACAUGCGAAAUAUCAGGGACUCGCUCGAGUAUACUCACACUCGAUAACUUAACCCUACUUGACCUCUGGUACCCCGAAUAUUCUUACUUGGACUGCGCACUAAUCCGGUGCCUCCAGUAGUACCGGCCCAAUACUCCUGUCCACACCGCAUCAGCUUUCACCCCAAGUCCUCCUCCCAGGGUCCCAAAUCCCAAGUACUCUAUUCUCAAUAAUCAUAGGCUAUUCUCUAGCAGAUCUCUCAUAAACUCCUCGCUGCUAUCUAAUCACUCUCAAGCUUCCUAGCAGCAAGACUCCUAGACUAAGGCAUCACAAAUCAGGCCACUCUAGUCCUAAUAAGAAUACCUAGUCUACUCUAGCAUGCAUAACAUAACUCAUCAAAUAUCAUAGCAUAAUAUAUCUCAUAACACUUAUUGUAAGGGUAUUUUGGGAAAUCACCGUUCGGGCGCUGGCUGAUCGUACACACGGCUUUGCUCUGUUUGUUUCAAAAUUCUUUUACUCUUUGAAAAUUAUUUUAUUAUCAAAAAAAAUUCCUCAAAUCCUUAGUUUGAGUUUAGAUACACCCGAAGGUGCAUCUGAGUCCCUCAAACCAAGGCUCUGAUACCAAAUUGUAACACCGUAAAAAUUUAAACAAUUUUUUGCAUUUUCAAAACACAUUCCCAUUCAUAUUUAUUAUAAAAAUCUCAAUGUAUCACAUCUCAAUUCAUAACAUAUCCCAAGAUCAAAAGAAUAUAAAACUCNGCGUGUGUGUACGAAUCAUGUCGGCACCUUCCCGCGAUCGUCACUAGUACCUGAAACACAUAACACAAAACACUGUAAGCAUAAAUGCUUAGUGAGUUCCCCAAAAUACCACACACAGAGCACAUAUUAUCCACUCGAGGAUAUAACUCUGUUUGACCCUCUGGUCAAUGUGUCUCAGUGGGACCUUCCAGUCCCAUAACUCUGGGGGCCCUCUGACCCUAACUUUGUGGACCUUCCGGUCCUAACUCUGUAAACUCUAUAACAUACAUAGCAUAAAUCACAUAGAAAUCACAUCAUGCAUAAGCAUACAAAAUACUCUGUCACAUAACUCUAAUUACCACUCAAGGUAAAGUAUAGUGAGAAGACUCACCUCGGGUGUCUCGGUAAAUCUCUGACUCGGUAAAAAUCUGAUCUAGCCUCCGCCUAAUUACAUGGAAUAAAUACCCUAAUCAAUACAACUCUCAAAGGCUAGACUGAACUCUCUCUUGGCAUUCUUAGAAGGGUAAAAGACCAUUAUACCCCUCUCAUGGCUCAAAGACCCAAAUAUUGACCAAACCCUAAAAGUCAACAAAAGUCAACUCUCUCCGGGUUACGCUGCAUGUACCAACCCUAUACGAUGGGCGUACCCGGAAACCUUACAGAAACGGGGAACGCGACCCCCUACACCCUGCGUACUGGGAUUACGCCCGACGUAAUUCCCAAUUUCAGUCUUCUUUGAUUUUUGGGUCUUAAUCAGUUAAGACUUGCGUCCAAAUUCCAGAUCUGACUUCUCUAAUGCGACUUAAUCCAUAAAGUCGGUGACUUUAGGCCUUUGCAUGGCUGUGGAAGUCACCAACACCCAAACCACUCCAUUUCCAACCUUUAAAGGUCCAUAUAUCAUGCAUGAACAACUUUUGACAACCAAGACUAGAUUUUUUAUCACAUAAUAACCCUAAAUGAGCUAGCAUGGAACAGAUCUCGACUUCUAAGAGCUCAUUAACUCAUAAAGCUAUCAACUUAGGGACAAAAACCCUAAAACUUCUCUUACAAGGUAUGAACAAAAAAUAUGUAAAGCUUGAAGCUUUUUACCUCAAAAUGAAGCUUCUUUCACUGCUAAUCUUAGAUCCACAAGCUUGAGCUCUAACUCUUCCUUUUCCAAGGCUUUCACUUUGCUCCAAAUGGCCAAGAACACACUACAAAGCUCUCCUAAACACUCCCUAGCUAUAUGAACGGGAUUUAGGGUUUAGAAAUGAUAGUGCUCUGGGAAAGGUGGCCAACAAAAGGGCCAUAAGGUUGCUUAAAUAGGGAGGCUCAAGGAAUUAGGGUUUCUCUUCUGGGCUAGGUAUGCCCCGCGUACACAUUGGUACGCCCCGCGUAUCUGGCAAUCUUUCACAAUCAGAACGCGGAAAAGUACACUGAGCGUACACCCCAGUAAGCCCCGUGUACCUGCCAACCAAACAUCUUCUUAUCAAGGCUAAAUAUGACAAUCAUUCAAAGAAGAAGGUUCACAAGGUAUACCUGAUUUUUGAGAUGUUACAAAAUCGCUCCAUGUCAUCGCGUCCAAUGCGACAUCAUCACCAAUGGCAUGUCCAACCUCCUCCCAGCAAUCCCUCGCUUUGUCCUUCAGUAGUACGGGCCCAUACUACCUCCACAUCUAUCCAUACUUUCCUCAAGAACUGCUUUGACUCCACCAGGUCCCUUUUUCUACUACUACAGCUCCCAACACUAUCUCAUCCUAGGCUUACCCUAGGGAAACCUCUAACUCCACCCAAACCAGUCCUCAGCUGCUGAAGGCUUCCUUGUGAUGCCAAUUAGCCAUCACCUGAAUACCAUCACAUGUGACGAGGCUCAAUUAAUCCUUCAAGUAAAAAACUCGUCCCUACAAUGGUUAGACUCAAACGAGAGUUGCGCAAUAGGGCCAAAUCCAGCACUCUGCGAUUAUUCAACCCUAUUCACAUGUGAUGUAACGUAUUCACCUAAUGGCUAACUCCCAUCACUCAGAAUCCCACAAUGCACAAAGCAAGAAACAUUCAGAGAAGGGAAAAUCUAACCAUAACAUACUCAAGCAAUCAUAAACCCAUAUCAAGAAUAUGUACUAGCAUGCGACAUAAGCUCAUAAACUCAGGCAUAACCUAAACAGGCUAUCCUACUACUAUCUAACCAGUAUUAUCAUGCAACUCAAAAGCACAUAUAACAGGCACAAAAGGCAUGCUCCCUAGAUCCUUAGUCCUAAUCUAGUAUGUUGUUCUACUAACUGAUAACCAUAACAUAAACUUGUAUGGGUAUUUUGGGGUACUUACUUGAGCUCGGCUGAUUGCAUGCACCACACCCUUUUCUCUUAUCAAAGUUCUUUUCUUUCUGAAUUCUUUUUGCUUUCUAAAAAUUUUUUCUUUCUCAAACUCUUUUUACAAAACUGCCUUUUCAUUUAGAAAACUUUUAUACCAAUCCCUUAGUUUGAUUUCAGACACACCCGAGAGUAUGUCCGAAUCCCUCAAACCAAGGCUUUGAUACCAACUUGUAACGACCCAAAAAUCGCGACAAAAAAAUUUCCUUUAAAACAUUACUAAAACCAUAUCAUAAGUCAUAACAUAAAUUCAGAGUAUCAAUCCAAAACAUAUUCUUGUCAUCGGAGUAAAACAUCCCAUGCUGUCUAAUUAAUGGUGUGUGCCAUGCGAUCACCCCGAGCUCUUCCCUCCACUACCGGAAGUACCUGAAACCAAAACUGAAAACCAUUAGCACGAAGCUUAGUGAGUUCCCCAACCUACCACAUACCCUGCACAAACACAUACAACACAUACUGGGCCACGCCUACUGUUUCAGGCCUCGCCCCUACCUCGGGCCUCGCCCGCUGCAACGGCCUCGCCACUCCAGGCCUUGCCUGGCUUCGAACCCCGCUCGGAUACAUAUAUGUUUCUCUUAGGCCCUGCCUGUCUCUGGGCCCCGCCAGCUAAACAUAUAGUACAAAAUAGCAUAUAACACAUAACUGAACAUACCCUACUGUAUUCUUAUCCUAAGGCCUCGCCUGUUUUGGGCCUCGCCCAUAUCCUGUUACUAGUGAGUCAUGGAACCCCGUCCAAGCUCCUGUUGUAAGUGAGAUACUGGCCCCCGCCCACACUCGCUCCAUACCUAUCUCGGGCCUUGCCCCUGUUCUGCUACUAAUGAGAUAUGGAACACCGUCCAUACUCUGCUAUUGGUGAGAUACUGGACCUCGCCCACACUCACCUCCCUACCAGGCACAUACAUGCAGCACACAGACAACAAGUAUACUCUACCAUGCCAACCAUUCCUUGGGAACCCGCCCGACACUGGACCUUGGUCCUGAAUAUCAUACAAGAAAACAGUGCCUAGGGCUAACCCCCAGGUCUUCCUACUCAUGACUACAUGGGCCGACAUUGUGGCCGUAGACCUAUUCACACAAGGGAAACUCACCUGCACUGUUGAACUUUUGUUGAUAACCCUCUGGCUGUUGCCGACAAUUCUUUGAACCGCUGCUCCACUAGCUCCACGAGCUACUAAUAUCAAUAUAACACUUAGUCCCAAACUGAACUCGAGAAGUCAAACUAAGUCAACUCUGGUCCAAGUCAAAGUCCUGGUCAAAGUCAACCUUCUAGGUUGACCCUACUCGCCGAGUCAACCCGUAGACUCGCCGAGUCCUUGGACUCAUAAACCUUCAAAAUACCACUCAACUAGCCGAGUCACCCCAAGACUCAUCGAGUUCGACGAUCUUUGAGUCCCAUCCUGCCCAACUCACCGAGUCACCACUCAACUCACUGAUCUGAGUCUUAACCAGAAAGGUUGGGGGUUCUGCGAACAGACUCGCCGAGUCCAAGAAUAGACUCGCCAUGUCCAAAGUAAUCUUCGACAGACUCGCCGAGUUGUUCUUCCAACUCGUCAAGUUCCUGCCUAUCUUCAUCCAACUCGCCGAGUCUACCCAUGUGAGUCGCCGAGUAGCUUUAGUUCUUAAUCCAUACAGUGGCUUUUCGAGCCAUGCAGGGGCUCCAACUCAUAGAUCCACUCUUCCAAAGUCUAUUCCUCACGUAAAGUUGCAAGCUUUACGUGAAACCAAGGAGCUAUAUAUAGGCUUAAAACACUCUAGGGCUAGAGUUUGAGACAAGCAUGCUUCACCAACACACCAAAGACUGAUACUUUAUGGGUUUAUGGGCCAAGAUUGUUGGGUCAAAAAUAUGGUUUAUAAUUCACUUUUCUAAGAAAAUGUAUUUUUGUGUCUUGGACCGUAAACAACUUGGUGUUUACGGUCGUAUAUGUGUUUACGGCUGUGUUUACGGCCCAUGUUUCCCUUGUGUGUGUGUGUGUGUGUGUGUGUGUAUAUAUAUAUAUAUAGGUGUUAGGGUGAGGAGUAGAGAUUGAUGAAACACAAGAAGGAGUGUACGGCCUAGAGAGAGAGAAGAACAAGUUUGUGUUAGUGUGUGAAUCUCUUGUAUCCGGAUCAUCAUUAUAUUUAUCAAUACAUUGAGAUUCAUAUUAUUAUUCUUCUUCUUCUCUUCUAUUUGAUCUGACAUCAUCCGUUUGAUUGGGAUUCGGCACCAUCAAACGGAUCUGAUUGAUACACAGGCAUUUUGGGGACUUAUAAUUGGUAUCAGAGCCUGGAUUGUAUCAAUCAAUUUUUGUCAGAUUUUGAGCCUUAUUUGAUGUUAUUUUCGAAAUAUUUUUGCGUUUUUGGAUAGAUUUCUGAAAAUUAAGGGGGUUUGUUCUUCGUGUUUUUCAUAAAAAAGGGUUUUUGAUCGAGUUUUGGAGCUUCAAAGUCGAAAUAUCGGUGUUUUUGGUCGAAACCUGCGAGGGUGUAAUGGAGUUUGCGGCCGGCGGCUAGGGUUUCGGAGUUCACGGCCCGAGGUUCAUGGUCCGAGCUUGCGGCCACGGAGUUCAGGGCCGGUCCGAGUUUGCGGUCUUCGGUUUACGGCCUCGCAAGCAGCAGCCUCGCAAGAAGCAGCCUCGCAAAGCAUCUUAAUUAAAAAAAAAGGGGGGACGUGAUUUUGAAGGUGUCGGGGAUUGAACCCGCGACCUCCAGCUAAACAAUUCAGCGCCUUAUCCAACUCGGCUAACAGACUCUUUGUGUCUUACCUUCGAAUUUUUAAACUUAACAUCGCAUUCUCACAUCCAAGUUUCGCAAUUUGACACUUUUAACCCAAAAUUCAAUUCCUUUUAAUUUUAAAUUCCUUUUUCAUCCAUAAUUAAAAAACAUAAUAAAUAAAAAUAAUAAUAAUAAAUAAAUUAAUUAAUUAAAAUUAAUAAAUAAAAUUAUAUUUUAAUUUUUGAAUUUUAUUUUUUAGCUUUUGACCUUAAAUUUUGACUUUGACUUCUAAGUUUGACCUUUGACUUUAAACUUUGACUUUUUCGUUUAACUUUUAAAUUUUCAAAUUUAGCUUUUUGGUUCGACUUUUAAGUUUGACUUUUCAAGUUUAACUUUUUAAAUUUGACUUUUAAGGUUGACUUUUGAGAUUUAUAAUCAAAGGGUUUGACUUUUAAGUUUGAUUUUGGCUUCUAGUUGUGCUUUUUAAUUGAUUUUAAGGUCUACGAGGGAGUUGAAAACAUGAAAGAGAGUCGUCAGGAUAUGUUAAGACAAAAUUUCAACAUUUUCGAUUAUAUCCCUGGAGAAACCCUCGAAACUCAGUUGCAGCGAUUUACCACACUCACUACUGAGAUGAAUAUAGCUGGGAUCUUCUUGACUAAGUCCGAGAUAAACAAAAAGCUGCUAAAUUCACUUCCGAAAUCAUGGGAUAUGAACGUGGUUGUUAUCAAGAAGACAAAAGAUCUCAAUCGUCUUAGUAUUGCUGAUGUAAUUGAAGAUCUUGAUGAUUUGAAGUGUGGAAAAACAAUGAGUUCUGAAAACACUCCGGUCAAUGAAGUUUCAUGCUCUCAAUCUUGUGAAGAUACGAUUAAAAUUCUUCGUGAACAUAAUGAUUUGCUAAAAAGGGAAGUCGAGGACCUAAAAUACGAAGGAUAUCAACUUAGGAAAGGACAGAAACCCCUGAAGGCUGAAUUAGAAGCAAAAACCAAGGACUUUAGGAAGCUUCAGGAAGAGUAUAGCAACAAGUGUGAAAAUUAUGACUAUAUUAAGAGACAAAUUGUUGUUGUAACUGAAGAACUUGACACUUUGAAAAUUAAGAGUGGAAAAACAGAUGUUAGUUUUAAAAAUUAUACUGCGUCAAGUCAAACAGUCAAAUCCUUAUUUGAAACCCAAUUAAAAUUCAAAGAUAAUCAAAACAAGGGUCUAGGGUAUGAUAGUGUUCCUCCACGUUUCAAUCAUAACUACACAUCCAUCCCUAUGCCACAAGAAGAAAUUGACAGGGAGGCACAUCUUCAAUAUGGAAAACCAGCUGGAUUUGUGUUAGGAGGUAUUCAGGUUGAAAAUACUAAUGUGUCUACUUCAUGCACAGGUAAAGUAGCAGAAGAUGAGAACAAGGAGAAAACCAUUGAACAAACCAACAUCUCCUUGAGCUCUGAAUCUGCUGCUUCAAACUCAGUUGCUUUUGAUCAACCUGUUGUUGAAAAAUACAAUCCACCAAUUCCUGUGAAGCAGAGUGCCUGUUGUAACUGUGCGUGUGGGAAAAGCCAGAGACAAGGUAAGGAUACGCCACCAGGGACAAGAAGAAAGAACUUCACAGUGAAGAAAAAGACAUGUUUUCACUAUGGAACACCUGGACACAUUGCCAGAAAUUGUCCUAAUCGCGCAUAUGUUCCCUACUACGCACAAGGAUGGCAGAAUGCACCAAGUGGGAGAUUUUCAAAAAGAACUCGCUUAAGGUCACGUUUCGAUUAUGGUGACUGGAAUGCGCAGAAGGCCAAAGAAGAAAGAACUUCACAGUGAAGAAAAAGACAUGUUUUCACUAUGGAACACCUGGACACAUUGCCAGAAAUUGUCCUAAUCGCGCAUAUGUUCCCUACUACGCACAAGGAUGGCAGAAUGCACCAAGUGGGAGAUUUUCAAAAAGAACUCGCUUAAGGUCACGUUUCGAUUAUGGUGACUGGAAUGCGCAGAAGGCCAAAAAUCAAACUCCCAAGGCCAAGCAUCCAACUCCCAAGAACAAGAAGGGAAUGUUGGCCCAGAAGUCUAGUUCAAGAGAUGCUCCUGUGAAGCCAAGACCAGUUAGGUCAAAGUCAUCUUGGCAAUCGGCUUCAAGUUCCAAAUCAAGUGCUGAGGCACCCACCAGAUCGAACAAGAAAUGGGUUAAACCCGAAUAUAGAUGGGUACCAAAGGUGAAAACUCCCAAAUAUUCUAAUGACUCUAAUAUUUCAGCAUCUUCUAUUUGUGAUAAGCAGGAUAUGUCAUGGGAGAAAGUACCCUGCAUUGAUGAAAAAGGUCGAACCAGUUUUAAAAUGGACUGGGUUCCAAAGACCAACUGAUCCCGCUCUGUGCUGGAGCAGCUAUGGAGGCAUAUCAUCAGACUUCGGUUUGUUGGUAGUGGUUGUUCCAGGCACAUGAUAGGAGGCAUCUCUCAACUGUACAACAUUCAGAAUUUUGUUCGAGAGUAUGUGUCCUUUGCUAGAAAGGAAAGAAGGGAAGAAAAGAAGAGAUCACAAAUGGGGUUAGUGCUUAAUGAUAUGAAGAAUUUUCAGAUCUGUUCUGAGAUUAUGCUUGCUGUUCUCAGACCUUCUAAAUGCAGAUUCAAUCGGUGAAUUACGGUUUGCGUUUUCUUCUCUAUACUCCUGAGUUUUUCUUAAGUUGAUUCACUUUAAAGACUAAUUUUUGUUGUAGGAUAGUUUAAAUUUGUGCAUUUACUUUCGUUUCUCUCCUAUGCACAAAUUUAAGGGGAUAAAUAAAAAGAAAACAAAAAUUAGAAAAUUUUAAUUUAAAAAAUCCAAAAACAUUAGAAAAUCAGAAAAUCAAAAUAUAGUGAUAAUGGAAUGUGCUUGUAGAAGAUGUUUUGGGAAGUGAUAUAAUUAUGUGAUAACAGGCAAUCUGAAUCUGUGUAAGGGAGUGAAUCUGAAUUGUCUAGGCUCUGUGUUCGAUGCGCUGGUAGGCACGAAAGAUUUAAAAUGGACUUGACUAGGCAUAGAUGAACUUAAGGAAUCUAGAGACUUGAAAAAUCUUGACCUAGAUAGAUCCAUUUAGCCUGACAAUACGACGCUCGAAUAGGUUGAGCAGGGAGAUAUACAUGAGAAUUUACCGAUCACAUUAAAUGAACCCGUAUCUAGAACUAUGGAUUAACUUUUCCUCGAUGUGCGGAUUCUGUCCUUAAUUCCGAUUGGAUGGGGUGACUAGGGAAUUCCGAUAAAUUAGGCCUGUAGAAGGUUAUUUUCUUUCUUUCUGUCUGUUAGUCAUAUGUUGCCUCCUCUGCGUGAUCGAGAGAUCCGACCUGGACUGUAACAUAUGCAAUUCUAUCUCUCUGCAUCUUCUCUCUAUGAAAUUCUUUCUAUCUGUUAGCCAUAUACUGUCUCAUUUGCGUGACUCAUAAUCCGACCUGGUACACAGUAUAUGCACCAUUCUCUACUCAAUCCAUCUAAAAACUUCAGUUAGUCAUAUGUUUCAUCCUUUGCGUGAUUGGAAGAGAUCCGACCUGGAUGUACAACAUUUGCAUUCUAACUCUAUCUUCUCUCUUAAUAAUUGUCUGCUCACUCGGUGUAAGGAGUAUUCUGGAAGUCCUUGAUGGCUGGAGCAUAUCAGGAAGCGGGAAACACAUUCUAGUACAAUUAAAAUUGAACACAUACAGUUUGUCUGUAGAUCUCGCUGCUCAAUUUAGGUGGACAACAAUAUCUUUGGUCGUCGUCAGCUGAAUGGUCCUUAAGGAAUAUUAUCUAGGAACUUAGGAUCACAUUGUCUUGUCACUUAUAGUAUGUCCUAAUUUUGUCACAAUCUCUCGUGUUUAAGUGGAUCACAAUACCAGCGAUUAACCAGAUCUAUUCAUGAAGGAGAGGUAUUGAUAAACGGAUAAAGGCUGUCUAAAAACUUUGAUCCCAAAUCACUCUUACAGUUAGCUAUUAUUUUUGUUUUUGUUAAGUUUGUUCAUAGUGUUCUUCUAAUUUAAAUAAAAGGGGGAGAAUUAAAAAAAACAAACAAACAAAAAUCAAAAAAUAGUUUUAUUUCUAUUUUACAUUUUGUUCUAACUUUUCUUUUAGUUUUGUUUUGUCUUGAAAAGUGAUUUCAGGUGAAGACGAAACCAUGGAGUUUGUGUUGAAGAUUUCUAAGCCAAAGCCUCGUCUGUGAGCAUCGAAGAAUUCUCAUUCGAAGGAGAAAGAAAUGAAGAUUAUUCUUCCAACAUUCAAUCCUUCAACCCCAGAAUCAAGGUGAAGCAGAAAAUGAAGAUUAUGUGACGGAUUGCAUUGAAGCCUCCUCAAUCAGUCUGUGGCUAUCGUUGUACCUACUGAAGUGAUCCAGAAGAUUUGUUCUCUCUGAUGUUCUCUCUGAAUAUUUUCAAGCUGAAAGCACCAUCUUUCAAGAAUCAGUACAAGAAGCCUCCUCACCCAAUGUGCGUUCAGAGUCAAAUCUUGAAGAAAAGCUCAACUACUUAAGAUGAAGUCAUUCAUUGAAGAUUCAUCAAGUUGAUCUUGAAGCUAUGAAGUCAUCGAAGAUUAAAGUUGAAGCCAAAGCUCCCAUUGAAGAUUAACAAGAAAAGUCAGCUACUUUUUUGGGGGAGCUUGUUGGGUCAUUUAGAAAAGAAACUUAUAAACCAAGGGGCGGAUUGUUGGGUCAAAAAUAUGGUUUGUAUUUUACUUUUCUAAGAAAAUGUAUUUUUGUGUCUUGGGCCGUAAACAACUUGGUGUUUACGGCCGUAAACCCAUUUACGGCCCAUGUUUCCCUUGUAUAUAUAUAGGUGUUAGGGUGAGNUAUAUAUAUAUAUGUAAACAUGUUUACGGCCGUAUACAUGUUUACAGCCGUAAACCCAUUUACGGCCCAUGUUUCCCUUGUAUAUAUAUAGGUGUUAGGGUGAGGAGUAUAUUUUGAUGAAACACAAGAAGGAGUGUACGGCCUAGAGAGAGAGAAGAACAAGUGUGUGUUAGUUAGUGUGUGAAUCUCUUCUAUCCGGAUCAUCAUUCUAUUUAUCAAUACAUUGAGAUUCAUAUUAUUCUUCUUCUCCUUCUCUUCUAUUUGAUCUGACAUCAUCCGUUGGAUUGGGAUUCCGCACCAUCAAAUGGAUCUGAUUGAUACACAGGCAUUUUGGGGACUUACAAAGACAAUCCUAGAUCCAAAGUUAUUUUUGCUCACAAAGGCACAAUACACGAAUUGGCCUUGGAAAUGGCCUAAAAAUGACAAAAUCUAACUAGGAAAGGGGAUCUAAAUGAAUAACAGUCAAGGUACGAGCUUCAUACCUUCCAAUGAUCUGAAAUAGCACACCAACAUAGAGUUCACUGCCACUUCUUGAAUCACCCAAGGUUCCUUUCUUCCUUUUAGCUUCAAAUCACCCAAAAAUGAUAAAGAAAGCUUCAGAGUACUACAAUGGAGGCUUAGGGUUUCGAGAGAAGGUAAAGGGAGUGAUGGAGGCUGGGGUGAAGGCCUGAAAUGAUGCUUAAAUAGGGCACCAAGACCGGAAAUCAGGGUUUCCCAACCCAAACCUGACUCGCCGAGUCAAUCCCUCCAACUCGCCGAGUCGGUCACUUAAAUCCCGACACGGAACUCGCUCCAACUCGUCGAGUUCACCAAUGGACUCGACCAGUUGACCCCUAUGACUUACGGUUUUCCUUUCCUUUCUUGGUCUUUCUGAUUCUGGGUGUUACAACUCUCCCCCACUUAAACUAAUCUUCGUCCUCGAAGUUUCUCUACGGCCAAUCGUUCUGCAAUCUGCUCUCAACACCCUGCCGGAAAAAUCUAACACCCGUUGACUACUUCUGUUGGCCUUUCGCCCGGUCAUGCAUACCAACGCUAAUUCUUGCAAUAACAAUCCUCAACCAUCCAAAUAACACGUCCUGAUCCAUUGGUAAUCCUUCCAGUGUUCCCCGAGCACUCAUACUGAACCCCUUAGGGUUCACUUCCCUUUGACUUGCGCGGUCACUAGCCUUCCCAAGGCAAAUUUCCAAAAAUGACAACCUCCUCUAAAACUGCGGGAACAUACCCUUUUUUGUGUGAAAAUGUGCUAGGUACCAAUCAAAUCCUAGAGAACCUCAUCUUACUGCUGUGAAGAAUAUUUUUCGCUAUCUCAAAGGAGCAGUUUCGUUUGCAUUGUGGUAUCCUUCGAAAACAGGGUUUUUCAUUCAAGCAUUCUCAGAUGCUGAUCUUGGUGGAUGCCAACUUGAUUGAAAAAGCACAAGUGGCAGAUGUCAACUCUUGGAUGGGAAGCUUGUGAGCUGGCAGUCGAAGAAACAAACAUGUGUUUCAAUUUCCACAGUAGAAGCAGAAUAUGUUGUUGCUGCAGCUUGCACUUCUUAAAUCAUAUGGAUUCAAAGUCAACUACGCGAUUAUGCAUCAACAUGAAGAAAAUUCUGUUGUAUUGUGAUUCACAAAGUGCCAUACGUAUUUGUCACAAUCCUAUGCAACAUUUGAAAACAAAGCACAUUGCUCUUCGCUAUCACUUUAUUAAAGAUCAUGUUAAAGAUGGCAACAUUGAAGUUCAUUUUGUAAAGACAACUCAUCAGCUUGCUGAUAUCUUUACAAAACCAUUAGAUGAAAAAUCUUUCGUAAGAAUUAUGAAUGGCUUAGGAAUGAUAGAUGCGAAUUCAGUUCCAGGACUGAUUUCGUUAGAAUGACAAGUCAAAGUAGUGGGAAUUUGUCAUUUCAGCAGUUAAUGUACCUUAUUCAGCGGUUACUAUUCACAGUCAAUGUUUCGACAUGUUUCACUUUCAACAUCAUGCACAAUGGUUUGACAAAAAUCUUCGCUAAUUUUGUCAUUAUCUUAUUUUUGCUAAGUCGGUACAUUUUCUUUUAUUGUUUACUAUUUUUUCUUUAAAAAUCAAAAACAACAAAAAUAUUUUCAUUUUUGUUUUUCAUCUUUAAAAUUCAAAAAUAUCAAAAAGAUUUUCUUAUUUUUGUAAUUUUUUUUCAAAAAACAAAAAUACAAAAAUAUUUUUUUUUCUUUUAAUCUUUCUUGUGUAGCUUUUAGCGAAGAUUUUUGAUGGUUCAUGCUUGCUGGUUGAGGGAAAGGUAUAUUUUCGAAACUAUGGAUUAGUUAAGAUGUCCCUAGAAGCAUGUUGUUGCAUAUCGACCAAAGCCUCCAUAACUCAAUGUGUUUCGAAGCCUUAAUGGAUUUCUCAUCAUGAGGAUUCCUACCCAAUCAGGCUAUAUUCACAUUACUUUCUAAGCUACCUUACUCUUCUCACAUGAGUUAAGAGUUAAUUUCUUGGUCCAAUCAUAGCAGAGGUACUUUCGAUUCUUGAACCACUCUUUUUCAUCCUAAAGUUCUUUCACGAUCACACACAAUGACACAUACCCAAGACAUUUCUGGUCAAAACAAACCAGGUUAUAGGUAUGUCAAUAUUUAGUGUUUAUGAUCUGGAUUCAUGAGACCAUGAUGAAAGUGAAACCCAAAGUUUCAAACUUUUAAAGGAAUUGACGGGGAACCUUAUUUCAGAUUUUAACAGAACUUUUAUUUUAGUACCACUUUUCGAUACUCCAAUUCAUAUUCAUUCUUUUUGCAUGGUCUAGAUAAAAUGUUCGAAACCCACGACAUUUUUACCCAACAAGAUCCUGGUAUAAUUUUGUUUUAUGAAAUAUGAUUUCAGUGUGAGUAUCAAUUUGAUUCUUCGUUACUUAAUAAAUUUUUCCAAAGCAUACUUGUCCCUGACUACACUGGUCAAAUAGGUAAUUUCGCUUACACAUUAUCACUCUUAUGUUUAGAUGUGAUAAGUAACGAAAUUUUUUAGCCACCCAUAACAUCGCAGGGAGGAAUGCCCACCUCUUACCAACCGGUGGUUGUCGGCCCUGGUUUGGUCAUUAAUCAAGAGGGUAAGAUGGUUGUGAACCCUAAUAAGGCUCCCUAUAACCUGAAGUACCUGAUUCCUUCCUUGUUUUUAAUUUACUUGAUCUUAUCAUAUGAUCAUGGAUUCACGGUUAAUAACUAAUAUAUAAUAGGUGUAUGUGCCUGUUGGGUGUGCCUAUAUGUUCUUUGUUUUUCACUUUCUUUGUUGUAUAUACUUUUUUUUAUCUAUUUAACUUUGAGAGUUUACUCUUUGCCCGAUGAAUUAAUUGCAUGCAUCUUUUUAGAAAUGCACAACCACUGUAUAAAUGUUGUCCUUUGUUUGUAGACUCAACUCUAAUAUGAAAAUUGAUGUUCUUUUUAGAAGCAAGACAUGUCCAGUAAUUUUCCUUUUGAGCUUUUCUAGUUCUUCCUGGAUCCCUUUUUUGAGCUUUAAGGCUGUAUUUUGUACAAACAUGAGUAUGAGUAGUUCCAACGUUAUUCUAUCUUUUUAUUGAGAAAUGAUAACUCCAACAAUUUCUUUGUUCUCAACGCUUCCCAAACGAAGCCUUAUAAAAAGAUGCCCUUCGAUACUUCUCAAUAAGUAUUCGAUUGUAAUUCACGUGAAACCACACAAGCUGUUAGUCAUCUCUCUUGAUGAAUAACACAGUGAUCUUUGCCUGGGAUCUCACUGCAUUUGUGUCAAAAAAAUUUUGACAUCACAGAACCAAAAUUUUCUUAUCUUUUUCUUUGGCACACUUUGCACUCACAAAAUCCUUGAGGUUCUGAGUAAAACCAACUCAGGCUGAAGAUUUCGCAAGUCUGGCAAAUGACUUCACUUUUAAACCCCCAAGUAAACAAGCCCAACCUCCAUUCCGAAGGUUUCAUUGUUUGUCCUUAUCUGUUAAAGUACUAUUGAAUAGAAAAAUGAUGUGACGUUUUGGUUGCCAUGCGAUUGCCAAGGCAAAAAGUGAUCAUUACUGUUCAGACGUGACUAUCUUUACGACUUUAAGCGCGAUUUUCAAGGUGAAAUAUGGCAUGAUCUUAAUUGCAACUGUUUGGAAAUCAAAUUGAGUGUACGUAUAAAAGGGGAUUUGGGGAUUCUAUUCCAAUUUUACGCUCACUUCAAAUUCUCAAAAGAUUUUUUAUUCUUUUCUCUCUAAUAUUCUUCUACUUCUUCAAAAACCUAACAAUAGCGGCUAAGCAAGGUCAACCGUCUCAAACAACUGAUGAUGUUUCUUCUCAACCCAUCAUGAAGAUUCAAAGCACAAGCUAUCAAGUUCAUGGAGAUGUCAAUGCUUAUCUAGAGGGUUUACAGAUGCUCAUAGUUGCUCUUCAAAAUUUUGUGUUGUCGACAACUAUGUUCAACUCGUUUUUCGUGCCACUUUCUUGGCUGUCACUUGUUGGUUCUACGGCCACUUACAGCAAGACAAUGAAGAUUGUGACAUUUCAGAUGGUGAAUGACAAGAAAUUCAGGUUAUCGAAGAAACUCUUUGCUCAAAUUCUAAAUAUCCCCAAUGUUGAACCUUUCUACAAGGUAACGAAUGAACAAGUCAUUAAUAUGUUCAAUGAGAUGGGUUAUCAACCUAUUCUUAUUAUGAUCAGUGACUUUAAGGAGUCUGUAUUGCCUUGCAUUUGGAACUUUUUAUUUGGUAUAUACCUUCGAUGCUUGACGGGUCGAAGUGUGGGAUUAGAUCAAGCUCGAUUGGAAGUUUAUGCUAUGGUGGCUGGAAUAUACUAUGAUUUAUCGGUGGAAUCAACAAUUCAACUAUGGGAUGAGUUUGUGAAGAGUAUUGGGAAUACAAAUGUAGUCGAUGGGAUUUCUUGAGCUUGCUAUUGGAGUCUUAUUCUGCAAUUUGUUUAUGAAAAGGAAGGCAUUAUGUUUCCAGAAGGUGAAGAAUCAGCAGAAUUCUCCACAUAUCACUAUCCCAAAACUGUCGAAGACAAUCCAGAUGUGUUUCCUACUGUUGCUCGUAUCCCAGAUGCGAUGCUUCACAAAGUUAAUACCUAAAACCCCAUAUUGGUAGCCUAUUUUCAUACCAUCAAUCAAAAUUGGAAUGUUGCUGCAAAAGUCGAAUGAAGGUCAUUCUAAGAAGCGCAGAGGAUCCAAGAAGGUUGAUCAGACUAGUCCUUCGAAAGCUAGUCAUGUACUAGUUGAAAAAUUGGCUAAGUCACCAAAGCAAGAAGUUAAAGGAGAAAAACUUUUGAAGAAAAAUUCCAAGCCUAUUGUUGAAGAAACAGCAAUAUCUUCGAAGGAGGUGAUACCUAUGAAAUCAGACAUGAUGAAACGGUUGAAGAAAAUGGCUCAUAAACCACGACAUUCACCUGAACGAUCAUCAAGCUUUUCUUCAACAGCAAGGGGGUUGUGAUUCGCGAAAUUCCAACACCAUUAUCUCCAGCUUCGAAGAAAAGGCGUGUUGAAGACAUGGACAAACAAAUUUCAAAGAAACAAAAGAAACAGAUGAAGUUGAUUGUCAAUGAAGACUCCAUGGAUGAUGAAGUAGUUCCUGAAUCUCCACUUAUAGGUGACAAAACGGGCAAUUCUUCACCUAUGAGGGGUUCUCCAGUCAAGUCGAAUCCUGAGGCGACUAGAAAUCCUUAUGGCAAUGUGGAAAUUUCUAAAGUCGACACAACCAUCAAUCAAAAUGAACAACCAAAGACUUCUACUCCUAAGCAGACUAUUGUCAAACCACUCGGAGUGUCGACUACCAAAUCAAUUCUUGAGGAGGUUCGCACUACAGGCAUCACUGCGAACAUAUCUAAUAUGGACGCAAAUGUAAAUAAGGGUGAUGGAGCAUCGAAUAAUGAACCCAAGGUAAUCCUUCUCUUCUAGUUUCUUCUACUUUUGAAAUAACUGUUGUUGAUACCACAGUCUCUCUACCACCAUUCCUUAUUCCUACUACAUCAGAAAUACCUACAUCAACCCACUCACCUACCUUCGAUAAUAUCAUGAAACAACCUAUUACUUCCUUAUUCCCAUCCCAAUCCACAGAAGGUCCAAAGACAGUUAAUAACGAUGAAACUGACGAUGGUGAGUUAAUGGGUUCAUUUGUGGACAUAGAGUUUAAUGUUGAAGAAGAAAACAUACCUGACCACAUUUUGAUGUCUGGAAAAUAGUUUAAGAUUCUAAAUAGGAACCUUAACUCUUUGCUCAAAUUACAAGCAAAUUCAAGGGGUAAACACUCAGUUUCAGGCAUAGAGGUAGAUGUGAUGCUGAAAGCUCAAGAGCAUCGUAUUCAAGACAAACUUGAUCAGAUGGACAAGAUCAAUGAGUUAGGAGUCCAAACUCAGUCAGAAAAGUUUAACGGUGCCCUUCAUGAAUUAAAGUCAAUUGCAAAAGAACGACAUGUUCUUUUCAUUCAAGAUGUCCAGACUGUUCGAGAAGAUGUAAAUCGAAAAAUUGAGGAGUUACGGGUUGACAUGGAAAAGGAGAUUAAGGACUUGACUCACAAUUAUUCUUCUCUUCUCACGAAGGUUGAUAUAAUUAUUGAGGUAGUGAUGAAAAUGGUUCAGUGGUAUAAUUCCAUGGCUCCAAAACUUGAUAAGAAGGCUGAAGCAAAUUUUACAAGUUUUAAGAAUGUUUCGAAGUUGUUGGGUGAACUAAAGGAUCAAGCAAUCAAAUUCGGAUCUUCGUUAUCUUCAUUACUUCUGAAUUCUUCACUCAGAAAUUUCGCAUGUUUGAGUCAACAAUUCACAAAGAAUUGGGUCCACUAGCGAAGUUUGCAAAUUUCAUGCCAACGGAUGGCCCGCCUAUUGUCAUAAGGAUGCAAGGGGGAGAAAGGAGAAAUGUUGGCAGUAGUAACGGCGAAGGAGGUUAUGGCAAUGCAUGUGGUGAUGUGAAAGUAGUUGGAAAAGUUUUAAGACUAAACUGCACAAAUGGUCCCUGUGGUUAGCUGAAAAUUGCCACUUUGGUCCAAAAAGGUUUGGACUAGCACCAAAGGUCCUAACUUUUCAUUUUGUUGUAAGUUUGGUCCAAUUUGCUUUUAACUUUUUUAUAAUGACGAAUUUUCCCUUAGCUUUUGCUUUUUCAGUUUUUUUUUUUUGUAUUUAUUUAAAUACUUUUAUAAUUAAAAGAAUAAUAAAAAUGAAAAUUUCUCUCUCUCUCGAACAGUUCAUAUCUUCUACCUGGUUUUUCAAGCAUAGGGGUACCUGGUUCCAUAUUCGAACAAUCCUUCAGCUUAAUAAUGUUACGAGAAGGGUCAGGAAGAUCAUCUAUAAGAACAUCAACAACUAAAGGGAUAGGAAUCGAAGAACUUGAACCAGAUUUAUCAAAUUUGCACUACCCUUCAAACUCAAAAAUCAAUAUUAUAGGAAUUUCACUUCUGUACUAAACUUUUUGACAAGUAAUGAAACCAAUUUAGGUUGCAAAGGGUCAAAAUGAUGAUUAUAGGUGUCAACAGGAACUAAUUUUGAGUCAAUAAUCAUUUUUGCACUUAUUUCCCCUUCCGAUGUAAGAACAUCGAGAUUCAGAUAUGGGGGAUACCCUCCAUGAAUAUGACCAACAACUAAAUCCAAGGAAAGAGGAGAAAAGGGCAUUCAAGACGAGAAGAUGAAGGAACCAAGGCACCCACCAGAAAGUCAACUACAACUCACCUGAAAUCUUCACUAUCAGAUUCUCCCUCUCGUUUUUCCAACAUCUCAGGUUUGAUUCGUUAAUUUUCCAUCAACAAGAAUCUUGGAGAACACACAAAAGGAUUUUGUUAUGGGUUUAGGGUCGGUUCAUCCAAGAGCAAAGAUCAUCCUCCUUAAAUCCCUGAUUUUGUUUUCGAUCAACAAAAAUCGAUUUUGAUCUUUGUUUUGAGGUAUGAUAAUGGAGGGGAAGCAAAAUGGAGGGGCUACCUUUUUUACAGUGUGAAUAUAUGUGUGUUUUUUAGGAAGACGAUGGGUGUGUGUUUAGGGAAGAAGAUAGGGUUGGUGGAGAUAUUUUGGCCUGUAAGAGAGAAAGAGAGAGAGAGUGAGAGAGAGAGAGGGAGAGAGAGAGACAAAGAAAGAGAAAGAGAGAGAGAGAUUUUCUUUUUUAUUUUUCUUUUAAUUAUAAAAGUGUUUAAAUAUAUAAAAAACUGAAAAAGCAAAAGGUAAGGACAAAAUAGUCAUUAUAAAAAAGUUCAAAGCAAAUUGGACCAAACUGGCAACUAAAUGAAAAGUUUGGGCCUCUGGUGCUAGUCCAAACCUUUUUGGACCAAAGUGGCAGUUUUCAGCUAACCAGAGGAACCAUUUGUCUAGUUUAGUCAAGUUUUAACUACUCAAAUUCCAACUUCCUUACCAAAACAUCUACGAUAACAUCAUCAACAACAACUACAACAAAACCAAUUACCAAGGGAAUUGUGAUUGGAUCUGCAAGUGGAGGUUCAAGUUCUUCGAAAAAACCUCCUACUACUCAAGAAAUGCAGAACAAAGGGAAGGGUAUUUCUACUGAGCUUUCUGUUGAAGAAAAGAAAGUUGCUCUGGAAAAAGAGAUAGAGAAACAAAAGCAAAUCCAGAGUAUUCUUCGUCAAAGAGAAAAUGACCCUCCUGGUCUCAACAAAGGUGAUCCUGCAAAGCUUUAUUCUUAUGAAUAUAUCGAAGCUUUAGUUGUUUCGGGGGAGAUGCACGAUUUUGGAAAAGUACUGAAGAAAAGCUACGAUACAAAGAACACUAACUUCAAUCAGUUAGACUUCCCAAUCAACAAAUUGAUGUUCAUUGAUGAGUAGUUUGAGAUUGCAGAUCAAUACAAAGACAAGAUUGAAUUCAAACGUAUGAAGUUUCGAUUCCAUGCAGUGCUUGGAAAAAGGGAGGAGGAGAUAUGGUCUUUAGUCAAGAUAGUUCAGGUUCUUAAUGUAUCCAGAGAUGUUUUAUUUGAGGAUAUGUUACAGAAUUAUCGAUAUCAUGCAUCUGGGCCAACAAUGUUGCAUUUGACUUCUCGGUUGCAGACUUCCCUUUAAUGAAUUUGUCUAAUCUGAUGAUUGUUGCGAAGAUAAUGAAGACUGUUGAUGUUUCGAAGCUGCAAGUAACAAACAAAGAAGAUUUUAUGAUGGGUUUUGCUCACUUGAAAGUGUUUAUUGAUGGAUAAUAUGGUUCUUUGGCAUUAACAGAUGUUGAGUUAGUGUUAGCAUUGGAUAAACUGAUAACUGUUCCUCAGUCCAUGUUAAAUACUAAAGCUAGCUUGAAAGAUUGUGAAGAUGGAGAGAUUUGCUUGAAACCUCUAGGAAUUGAGUUUGUUGGCAAAAACAAGAAGGGUAACAACACAAAAUUUAUGUUUCAAGUAUGUGAUGUUGAGAGGUAUCCUACUUCUCAUUACAUAAAUCUCUUGAUUCGAAUGAACAGAUGUGUUAAGAACAAUGAAAAGGAUAAAGAUGAAAUUCAAAAAAUGGUAAAUUGGUAUGUUGAAGUUCGAAGAGUUAUUCACCAAGUUGCUACAAUGUUGUCGUCUUAUAUUCGACACUUCUCACAAAAGGGGGAGAAUGAUGUCGAAUAGUGUUGUGAGGUGUCGAAUGUCUUGAAAAGUUUCAAUAGUUUGUAAUGUUAUUAUAAGGGCAUUUUUGUUUCGAAGCUUUCAUGUAAAGUCCCUUAUAUUUUUGUGUGCUUUCUGAAUCUCUAUAAACAGGGAGGUGUACUAGAGAUAAAGAAGCACUUUCGUGAUUUUGUCUAAACUCUCUUUGUACUUUGAAAGCAUAAUUGAGCCAAACAGACUUUAUUUAGAUCUCGUGUUCAUCAUUCUUACUUUACUCCGAUAUUGUAAUUCAAUUUCAAUUUCAUUAUAACAACACAUCAAUCCGCGGAUGGGGAUAAUGGUUCUUCAUUGUUAACUUAUUUAACUCCUGAUAAUCAAUGCACAUCUAGUGUGAACCAUCCUUCUUCUUAACGAAUAAAAUCGGUGCUCCCCACGGAGAACUGCUCGGACGGAUGAACUGCUUGUCUAGCAGCUCCUGCAGCUGAGAUGACAGCUCCUGCAUCUCAAGCGGUGCCAAUUGGUACGAUGCCUUGGCAAUAGGGGUCGCACCUGGCAUAAGGUCGAUACUAAACUCAACCUGCCUCUCAGGAGGCAUACUAGGUAACUCCUCCGGGAAUACAUCAGUAAACUCCCUAACAAUCGGAACAUCAGCAAGUGACACUUGAUCCCCAACCCGCCUGUCCACCACAUAAGCCAAAUAACCUGCACAUUCGUGUUGAAAAUAUUGUCGAGACCUGGCUGCCGAACAAAAACUUGAACCCAUCCUGGUUACCUCUCCAUAAACAUCUAGUGCUGUCUUGGCCUCCUCGGCGGUGAGUUGGAUAGCGCGACCUCGAGCCGUCGACGGCUCCGUCUUCCCCUGGCGCCCAUCUGUGAUCCUCAAAGUAACUGGCACGGGGGCCUACGCCGGCUUGGCGGCGAGCAAUGGACAGCUGACCUUCACAUGGCCAACCUAAUCACAAUGAUAGAAAAUCCUUGUACUCUGUAUUGGGGCUAACUGGCGACAAUCCCUCGCAUAGUUCCCCUCCUUUCCAUACUUGUGGCAUACUCCUCUUGAUCAACAUACAUCAUCAUGAACCUUUCCGCACUUCCCACAAGUACGGCCUCGCUGACCCCCAGACCUAGAAUCAGCGGCCUUGAACCGCUUUGGUGUCGGCUGCAACUGUGCCGAGGCCGGUCUCUGCUCACUCAACUAAAGCUCUAUCUUAAGCUCACGCCGCCUGGAGGCCUCCUACAACUCCAACAAAGAAUAAAACCACUAGGUAGAAACAAACUAUCUGAUAUCCAUCUUGAGCAUACUCAGAUAACUAGUCAUUUGAGCCUGCUCUGAAGCAAACUCAAGGCAAAACAUAGCCCUCUAAGUAAACAUCCGGGUGAUCUCCAUCACCAACUAUGAUCCCUACUUUAGGUCUAAAAAACUCCUCAGCCAACCUCUCUCGCUUGACUUGUGGAAUGUAGCGAGUAUGAAACAUCUCCAUGAACUGAUCCCAACAUAUCGCAGCCCUCUGCACAAUAGAAUACAAUCCUAUAACAAGUCUCCACUAAUCUUUCACGUCGGACCUCAGAAGGUUCAGAGCGCACCUGACCUUCUGGUCAGCAGGGCAUGAACUAGUAAAGAAACAUCCCUCCACAUCAGAUAGCCAUAUCAUGGCCACGAUCGGGUCUUGAACUCCAUGGAAAGUUGGGGCUUUAUAUUAUCCAAGUCUUGAUACUGAAAGACCCGCCCUGUCCCAACACCUACAGCCGCCACGACUGUGGAGGCUGCAGCAACAGCCGUCACAGCAAUGGGUGCAUAAGGAUCAUCAAAGAACUCCAUAAUCACGGUCUUGAUAGACCCGAACAUCUCCAGAAUCUGACCCCAGACAAUAGCAACCACCUCCUCGCGAAUGAUCUCCCUGACGCGAUCCUCUGACAAUACCGGCUCACCCAAUCUGGCGGCUCCUGAUCCCGAUCCGGGUCCGAUCUCAACUCGCCUCGUAGUCAACAUAUUGAAAAUACACUAGGAAGAUAUCAGAUAAUCCACAUAUCAUAACGGGGAACCAACUCCCAAUGAAGCCCUAGGGGUUGUGACUUACUUUUUACGCGUACGGGUCCUGCGCUUUCAGUAUUACGGGCCCAUACUACCUUCCAUCCCUACUCGUAUUUGUCUCAAGGAUCAUUACAACGCCCUAAAAAUAAUCAUAAGCAAAGAUGAACACUCAAUCCUCACUCCCUAGAGGAAAGGCUAAACAUCUCACGACUGGCCGGCUGACCUCACACAACUCAUCCAUGAAACUUCCACCAACCCUGCAGCACUCGUGUAUGCUAGCCAUACAUAACAUUGGACCCUAUACACAUUCAAAUAUCUGAUCCUACCCUAAGCCCUUCAUCAAACAACAAAAAGGAAAUAAGGUCAAACCAAACUUCUUAGGCUAUAAGAUCUUAGUUAUAUAUAACCAUGAUGCAUACACUAAGAAACUAUAGGAAUGAUGUCAAUUCCAUAAAAGAAAGGUCCUAGGCUAUCAUGCAUCAUAUAAUCAGACAAUUCUAUUAUGCAAUUCCUGAAGAUCCCUAGCCUAUUACUAGCAAGUUCUUCUAACAUAUCACAAUAUCAAGUAAUAGUAUGGUAUUUUGGUGUCUACUUACUGGCUCCGUUGAUCGUACACAUUGCAUCCUCCUUGAGUAUUUUGAAAACCAUUUGAAAAAAACCAUUUUGAACAUCUUUCCUUAGUUUGAGACUGGAUUCACAUGAGUGUUCCCCCAAUUCACUCAAACCAAGGCUCUGAUACCAACUUGUAACAUUCGAAAAAUUUUGGAAAAUUUUAAAAAUUUUAAACAACCACAAAACCAUCAUUUAUUACAAUUUGUUUUCAAAAUAAGUUUCACAUCAGAGUGUUCCCAGAAAUCAUAACACAAAACACGAGAAAGUGCAUGAUCAAGUCUUCACCUUCUCGCGAUCAUCUGAGGUACCUGAAACAUAAUCCAAAACUGUAAGCCCAAAGCUUAGUGAGUCUUCCCCAAAAUACCAACACAUCACGAAACUAGAAUAGUACAGCAAACAACAUGCACACAGAGCCUUCAGUCUGACUGGAACACCCCACCAGCCUACAGUCUAUCUGGUAUGCUUAUAGAACCUUAAGCAUGACUCGUACGCCAGCUCAAGCCUUCAACCUAUCUCGAACGUUCUCUGGGCCUUCGGCCUGAUUGGUACGCCCCACUGGCCUUCAGCCUAUCCGCAAAACCCCAGGUAUGUUGUCCUUCAGAACAAAGCAGGACCGCCUCAACCCAACCACACAUAACUUCUCGACAUAUACAUAACUCAUAAACAUAUAAUCAAUCAACAGACAAGCACAUACAGAUCUUACAGAUUUCUAAACAUACUGUCAUCCUAUCUACCAGAGUAUAAUUCCAACAUACCACAACAAUACUCAAUCAUACAAUAAUCAGGAUAACAAUCCAAAAGGGACGGCCUUGGUACCUUCGACCCAACAAGUACAGUGAGGAACACUAACCACACAAGUAGUUCAUAACUGAUAAAGUCCGACUCUAAUUCUUAGCUCCCGACUCAAAGCCUACAACCAUUAUGACUAACCCAUCAAAAUCACGAAAUUCCUAAAUUGCCCUCAAAAUUCCAACUUGGUCAACCAUGGUUCAAAGUCAAAGUCAAUGGUCAAGGUCAACAUUCCAUGUUGACCCAACUCAUCGAGUGCACCUCUGGAAAUCGUUGAGUUCUACAGUACUCAAAAAGUCAGGAAAAACCCUAGCCAACUCGCUGAGUUGUCAUGACAACUUGUUGAAUUUUCCCCAGCUUAACACAUACAACUGGUUCUUCGAUUCCACGGACUCUAAGGCUCAGAUCUAAACUCCAAAUGUGUCUAAAAGGAUAAAUUUUCCAACUUUAUCCUUUGGGACUACUCCAAAAGCUCAAAAUCCUUCCAUAAUGCUUGAAACCUUAAAGGCUUAACCAUUAAGCACAAAAUCCUUGAGAUCUGGAACCCAACCUUUCCAAAAGAGAUUCUAGUCUCAAAAACGUCCAAAAGGUUGGUGCUUUAUAGACAUGCAUGUCCAAUGCAUGUCUGGAACCCAAAAUGGGUCAAAAAGGAAAAUAUGACCUAAAAUUCCAUGCAUGGCAUCAAAGCUUGACAAAAGACCAGAUCCAACCCACUAUAAGACCACUUUGACCUAGAGAUUCAUAAAGUUGCAAACUUUAUGAAGUCCAUUCAUUGCAACAUCCAGGAAUUAGGAGAAAAAGAGACCAAACUCAAGAUCUAGCCGCAUACAUAGAUAAAAAUUGGAUCUUGAAUACUUACAACGGUCCAAAAGAGUGUCAAACUGAAGAUGAGAGCUUAGCUUGCAAGAUCCUUGCCUCGUUCUCUAAAUCUUCUCCUUCUUUUUCUCUAAUAUGCCGCACUAACUCACAAUACGAGAUGAAAUGAAGAUUAGGGUUCACAAGGCCGAUAUUAGGGUUUGGAGGCUGAUAAAAGAUCAACCUCAAGGACUUAAGGAGGUUAUAUAGGGUGCAAACCCUAAUAAUUAGGGUUUCAUACUCAUCCACCAACUCGUCGAGUUUUCCUCUCCAACUCGUUGAGUUGGUCCAAAAAGACGUACGGCCCAAAGCCUUUCAACACGUCGAGUUGGGCCAUCAAAUCGAUGAGUUCCGAAGGAAACUUACCUUUUGAAUAAUAAAUAUGAUACCUAGAAAUCGGAAUGUUACAGUUUACAUCUCAUGUUCAUGACUCUAAGUCAUUUAUUAGAUUCGAGAUCUAACAUAACAUCUUGGUAGUUAAUGGAUUUACUAGAAACCAUCAAGAAAAGCUCAUUAAUGAGAGAUUCCAUAUUUAUUUUGAAAGAGAGAGAGAUUCCAUAUUUCUCAAGUCAAAGAUGAUUCCUACCACUAAUGCGAACAAAUUUUGUUUGUGCUCAGCUAUUAUUCAAGUUUAACAAUCCCGUGCUAAAACAAGUGUCAACUGUUACUACAUCAAGUUAUUGUUCUUAAGCUGCUUCAAGUUCCACGUAGCUCUCACUUGCUUUGUCAUUGUAAGCUUGCUUUUUAUUAACUUAACUUUCACGGUAAUAAGAUAACUUAUUCUUGGUGGGUCUGCAUAUAAUAAUCUAACCCACAUUUAGAGUAUUAUACAAAUAUGUAUUUAGUAGAUUUUGGGUUUAGAAUCUUUAAUCCCACAUAGGCUUAAAAUCCACAAAACAUUUAUAUAAGAUAGGGAUGGAGCCUUUCAAUACAAAAUCUUAUAAAGAAAAUGUUUUAUCUACUUAUUAGUUAGUAGUGUACUCAAGAUAUAAUUGAUAGUGUUCUAGGUGUUAUCCCAAUGAAAUAAAAGGAACACAUUUCUACCGAUUAGAAAGUAAAUCAAACCAAGUAAGAUUUAAUUCAUCAUUUAUUAUCAUUAAGGCUUUAGAUAGUUCUUAAUGUUUUGUAUUUCAACUUUAUAUUUGAAACCUUCAACAUAUAUUUCACAAUUAUUUUUUAACAUGUAAACUAUAAUUUAUAACUAUUAUAGUUGUUAAUAAAGUUAAUUUGCUAUCUUGUGCUAAAUCUUAGAAAUUUAUUAGAAAGGAAAUCAUACAUCAUAGUGUGUAGUCCAUUAAUAAACUGUUUUCUCUAUUACUUAGUGAAAAUAUCAUUAUAAAUCUUUUAUAUAUAAAUAGAUCUCACAUAUUUCAAAUAAACUAUAUUAUAUGCCCUCAAAUAUCUCUUUCUUGAAGUUGAAAUAUGUGAAUGUCAUUUAUAUAAUAAAGAUAACAAUGUCAAAUAUGAGUUUGAUUUAAAAAAGAAUAAGUCACAAGUACUUUGCAUAUAGAAAUUAUGAUUUAUAAAACAUUGAUAUUUAUUUUAUAAUUCUUAUUAAGAGAUCUAGUCUCAUAAAAAGAAUUUUAAUCAUUUUCGAAUAUGAAGGUGAUCGUUAUGAAAAACGAUUUAAGUAAAUAGUCAAUCAUUCAUAAAUUAAAUUGAGACAUAUAUUUAGACAAGCUAAAUAAAAACAUACAUUGUUCCAAAACAAUCAUUGUUCUACAAUACAAGUACAUUAUGUUCCUAGCAUAAUUAAUAAACUAAACCCCGAGAGUAUAGUUCCAACUUUUUUUUUGAAGAGAUAUUUUUUUUAAAAAAAUAAGAAGAAAUUUUUACAUAGACGUAACGGGUAAACGAGCAACAACCUGUGCCGCAACCCAUUUUUGGAUGGCAAAACUAAUUCUUUUAAAAACAACAUCUAUAGAUCUUAGAGUCAGAAUAUUACUAUGCAUGACCCGUUGGACUCUAUUGAGUAGCUCCACUGCUUCUGGCACAAGGAAACAAAAAGUAUCAAAUGCAGAGGGUAUAAACGUGUGUUGAUUUUCCAUGCAAGCUUUCUCAUGUUUUGCCACUUUGCUUGAUGCAGCUUGUCCCAUAAUGAAAACCCUACUCCCCAGGCCCACAAGAGGGGAAACCCUUGUUAGAUCCACGCAUGCAUGUUUCCUCCAGCCCAUCCAAAUACUAAAACAUCAGCUAGUCUAAGUGUUGAUCUUCCUUCCAAUGGGUCGGUCAAAAAAUUCACAGGUGCCUCUUUCUUGGCAGAAACGCCAGCACGCCUAAAUAUAUCGAAAAGAACAUCCCUAACCAGAUCGUGUCGGUACUUAAAACCAAUGAGCUCAUUACAAUGAACUUCAUGCUCCCCAAAGGAGUCCAAACAUGCCUUACGACAAACAAGGAAAGUCUCGUCAGGCAGAAAUAAAGGGAUCAUAAAGCAAUACUUGAGGAUGGCACGAUACUCCACUGGCGACAUAUGCUGGCCAAGACCAUAAAUAGGAAUAGUCACAAGGAAAUCAUGAGCAUGUUGGGCCCUUAUACACUCAAAAAUUGCUUUCUUCUUAAUCAUCAUGUCGAAGUGAACUUCCAUGUCUUGGAAAAUUUUACUAAAAAGGGCAUUCUACAAUGAAUGUUGGGCUUUUGGAGGGGCAGUGUCUUUAUUAAUUAAACCGCUGAAAUCAAAGCCCGGACCUGGAAUCGUAACAUGAAGACAGGCCAAAGCAGAAACAUAAUCUGAAUCCAUACCACAUAUGCCACUAUUUCGUAAGAUGUGAUCUUGUAACGCCCACGAUUGAGCUCGUGAGGCAACAAAAGCAUAGGAGGAAGACUCUACUGCUGAGUACAACCCCAAAACACCGAGCCUAAUUGUUCACGAAGCUAGUCGCCAUUGAAGGUCCCCAAAGAACGGACCCCCGUAAACCACAAUGUCCUAAUUUGACCCACAUAUCCCUUUAUCAAAACACAAAGCAGCCUCUUCCAUAUGAACGGGUUGGCACGUUCUCGGGCCAAAGAAAAGUUUGGCAAUGCCCAUACAAGAUCGAAGCAAAAGGAGUUCACUAUGGGGAUCAUGUAACUGUGGUAGAAGGCGCAUCAAAUCUGUCACACCCCCAAACCCGACGGUGGAAACGUCCGGGGGUGGAUGACUUCAUUUGUAGUAUCACAACACAUGUAGCAUAGUAAUCAAAGUACAAACAACCAUUGCAUUAAUAUGUAUAAGUUUUUACAUGUGAUCAAUCAUUCAGAAAACAUAAUCGUUAUACAAAAGAAAAAGACAUGACUCAAAAUAGCUCCAUCUUCUCAAAAGCUCAGGGAGUACCUGUCUAUUAAUUCCCUGAGAAUACAAGUAAUUUGAAAAGAGAGUAUCAACAUAAAGUUGAGUGAGUGCAUAAGUAUUUAUGUUUGAAAGUAUGUUUUCUGUUCCUUGAAUAUGUAAACUGUUCCAGAAAAUCCUAUAUUUUCUGUUGUAAGUGCAAAGUAGUUUUAAUCUCAUAAAACCGUUUUGUUUGUAAACCAACGUUCUGUAUUUGUAUUCCUUUAUGUAAAACUUAUAAGUGUGAGUGUGCCUGGUUCCCCCAGCUGUUAUUGUAAAAUGUGACAUAAUACUGUAAAUUGUAUCAUGUAAACUAGUACUUAGAAAAUGUACUUAUGUUUAGUUAAUUAUACACUAAUGUAUUGUUAAUAUCUUUUUAAUGAGUUAUUAUAACCAUACUGAGACUAGAUGGCCUGACCCAAUGCUUUGAAGGCGUCAAAAACUGUUAUAACAACUGUCACUCGUAGGCGUGUAUGACUGACUGUAGCUAGCAGUCUGAGUGUGGGGUUGUCAAUCCCAAUUGUUUCGAUCCCUAGCUGGAGAUUCUGGUUAUAAUGUUAGGACUUUAACUAUGUUGUUUAAAUGAAUUAAACAACCCGAACCAAAUUACUCAUAAAAAGCAUAUAGACGUUACAUGUAUAAUAUUAUGAAAACCCAAUCAUUAUAAAAUGAAUUAUUAAUAGUAUGCCCCUGAAUUAGUAUAUGAUAGUUGUAUACUCUUGUUUAGUUUUGAAUCAAACCUUUGUUCUUGUAAACCAGUGUACUUUAGUAUACUUGAAUCGUGAAUUAAUAUUCUAUACUUGAAUCGUGAAUUAAUAUUCUAUGAAUCAUAAAUUAUACCUAUUAUAACUUAUAUGUACUUUCUGAAUUGAUACUAAGUGUUCAUGAAUGCAACCCUUCGCUCAACAUGUUACAAAGGGGUAUCUAAACCGAAUGAAAUAUCUUUUAUAUUUAUAUACAUAUACAAUUAUAUAUAAGUAAAAUUUAAUCGACAUUCGGACGAAUAACCAAUACUAUAGNUAAAAGAAGUUUAAUAUUUUGAAAUAUAUUUGGUGACUUGAUGUCAUUUUAACACAAUCUUUGAAACCAAUUGAUUUGAUGUUAACUAAAAUUCAUUUUGAUAAGAUAUUUUGAAACCAUUUGUUUAUAACACAUAAUCUUUGUGUUAAACUUGUAUUUCUCCCCCCCCCCCCCCCCUUUAAAACAGUAAAAACUAUGAAAAUAUGGGGGUAUGAACUCACCUUUUGGAUGGUGAUUCAACUAAUUGGCUUUACAAGAUAGAAAAAUAACGGGAUGUUACAUUAUCCNUAUAAAAAAUAACGGGAUGUUACAUUACCCCCCCGUUAGAGAGAAUUUCGUCCUGAAAUUUGGAUUAAAGAGAUAUAGAAAGAAUAGGGAAAAAGAUGUGGAUACUUCUGUUGCAUUUGAUCCUCCCGCUCCCAAGUGAAUUCAGGUCCCCGUUUUGAAUUCCAGCAAACCUUCACUAUCGGGAUACGGCUUUGUUUGAUUCUCUUUACAACCCUGUCUAAGAUCUCUACAGGUUCUUCCACAAAGUUGAGAUUCUCUUUUAUCUUGAUCUCAUCAAGUGGGAUAACAAGUGUCUCGUCGGAUAAGCACUUUUCAAGUUAGAGACGUGGAAGACAGGAUGUAUGUUACUUAGUUCUUGGGGUAGUCAGAGUUUGUAAGCUACUGGACCGAUUCUAGCAAGAAUCUCGAAUGGUCCUAUGUACCUUGGAUUCAGCUUGUCAUGCUUUCCAAAGCGUAUUAUGCCCUUCCAGGGUGAGACCUUCAACAAGACGCGGUCACCAACCUGGAAUUCCAAAGGUUUUCUCCAUUUUUUCAGCGUAGCUUUUCUGUCUAUCUCUGGAAGCUUUAAUUCGUUCCCGAAUUUGUACGAUUUUCUCCAUAGUUUCACUAAUGAUUUCUGGACCAAUGAGAAUAACGUUAGGAAUUUGACCUCUAGUUAGCUAUGUGUCACCCACUUCAUCCUAGCAUAGAGGUGAUCUGCACUUGCGGCCAUAGAGGGCUUCGAAAGGAGCAGCCCUUAUGCUAGUGUGAUAAUUGUUGUUGUAAGAGAAUUUGACAAGGAGUAAAUGAGUAUCCCAUGCCUUUCCAAAGUCUAUCACGCAAGCUUGCAACAGAUAUUCUAGAUUUUGAAUCGUCCUCUCACAUUGUUCGUCAGUUUGUGGAUGGUAGGUUGUACUCAUGUCCAACCUAGUUCCCAGAGAGUUUUGUAAAGACUGCCAGAAACGAGAAGUGAAUCUACUAUCUCAAUUAGAAAUAAUAGAUAUUGGCACACCAUGAAGUCUAACUAUUUCUAUGAUGUAAGUUCGUGUUAGCUUCUCCAUCUUGUCGAUUUCUUUUAUGGGCAAGAAGUGUGCGGAUUUGGUCAAUCUAUCGACGAUUAGCCAAAUAGUAUCAUAACCACCCGUUGUCUUGGGUAACUUAGUUAUGAAAUCCAUCGUAAUCGGCUCCCACUUCCAUUCAGGUAUUUCAUGUUGUUUCAAUAAACCUGAAGGUUUCUGGUACUCUACCUUAACUUUGGCACAAGUAAGGCAUUUGCCAACAAAGGUAGCAAUUUCGGCCUUCAUGUUAGGCCACCAAUAUAGUUUCUUGAGGUCCAGGUACAUUUUGUCUGAACCUGGAUGAAUGGAGUAUCGGUUUUCGUGUGCUUCAUUCAUAACCACGUCUCUGUAACCACCGAACUUUGGUGUCCUGAUUCGGUUCAUGAAACAAUAGACUCCAUCAUCCCUGACUUCGAAGUUCUUAUCCAUUCCUCUCAGGGUUUCACCUGCCAUGUUUUUGGGUUUCAAGGCCUCGAGUUGAGCCUCUCUGAUCUGUGUGGACAGAUGUGAAUGGAUUUUCAUGGUCAACGACUUUACUCGUCGUCCUGAAUAUUCUUUUCUGCUAAGGGCGUCAGCUACCACAUUGGCUUUACCAGGGUGAUAACGAAUCUCGCAUUCGUAAUCGUUCAGUAGCUCCACCCACCGUCGUUGCCUCAUGUUUAGUUCUUUUUGGUCGAAGAUAUGCUGAAGACAUUUAUGGUCCGUGAAUAAUGUACAUUUCAUGCCAUAUAGGUAAUGUCUCCAUAUCUUCAUAGCAAAUACUACUGCUCCUAGAUCAAGGUCAUGCGUUGUAUAGUUGACCUCAUGCGUCUUGAGCUGUCUCGAGGCGUAGGAUAUAACAUUUCCUCAUUGCAUCAAAACACAUCCAAGCCCUUGAUUAGAAGCAUCACAAUACACUACAAAGUCCUCUAUCCCUUCAGGUAGAGACAGGAUCGAUGCACUGCACAAAGCUUGUUUCAGCGUUUGGAACGUUGUUUCUUGCUUCUCUCCCCAACUAAAAGUUACAACCUUUUGUGUCAAGUUGGUAAGCGGUUUAGCGAUUUGGGAUAAAUUCUUGAUGAAUCUGCGAUAGUAGCCAGCAAGACCUAAGAAUUGACGGAUUUUUGUAGGUGUUUUGGGUGCUGACCAGUUCUCAAUUGCCUUAAUUUUGGAAGGUCCACAUGUAUUCCCUCCUGACUAACCACGUGACCCAGGAAAUCUACCUUCCUGAUCCAAAAUUCACAUUUUGAGAGCUUCGCAUAGAGCUUCUCUGUUCUGAGAGUUUCCAGUACUUGAAGAUGUUGGCCAUGAUCCUCUUCACUUCUUGAGUAGAUAAGGAUGUCGUCAAUGAAGACUAUGACAAAUUUGUCCAGGAAUGGACGACACACUCUGUUCAUCAAGUCCAUGAACACAACAGGUGCAUUCGUCAAUUCGAAUGGCAUCACUACAAACUCGUAAUGACCGUAACGAGUUCUGAACACGGUUUUGGGAAUGUCCUCAUCCAAAAUCCGUAAUUGAUGAUACCCGGAUCUUAAGUCUAUUUUCGAGAAGUAGCUCACACCUUGAAGUUGGUUGAACAGAUCUUCAAUGUGAGGCAGAGGAUAUCGAUUCUUGAUGGUAAGUUUAUUCAGCUCGCGGUAGUCUAUGCAUAUACGGAACAAUCCAUCCUUCUUCUUCACGAACAAAACCGGUGCUCCCCAGGGUGAGAAGCUUGGUCUUAUGAAACCCUUGCUAAGGAGUUUGUUCAGCUGGAUGGAUAAUUCCUGCAUUUCAGAAGGUGCAAGACGAUAGGGGGAUUUGGCUACAGGGGUAGCCCAAGGGAUUAAGUCGAUUCUGAAUUCGACUUGUCGUUCGGGAGGUACUCCUAGAAGGUCAUCGAGAAAGAUGUCGGGAAAGUUGCAGACCUCAGGAAUGCUCGUGAUGUUUUUCACUUCUUACUUUUUGUCUACCAUGUGAGCCAAGAAAGCACACUACUCCUUACAAAGGUACUUCUAUGCCUUGAUGUAAGAAAUGAUCUGAAGGUUCGUCUCGUGUUUAUCGUCGUAGAUAAUAUAAGUUUCCUUAGUUGGCAAGUUCAGGCGAAUAGCUCUAUCAUAGCAUAAGAUGUUAGCAUGGUUAGGGCACAACCAAUUCAUACCUAUUAUGAAGUCGAAGCUUUUGAUAGAGACCGACAUAAGGUCUAUUGGGAACGAAAAGUUGUUCAAGGUAAGGGUACAUCCUAUGUAUAUAUUAUUGGUGAAUUCGGAUUUCCCAUUAGCCAUUUCUACUGUGAAGGUUUCAUUUAGUGGUUGGGAGUUUUGAUUUAGCAGGUGUUUGAAAUUAUGGCUCACGAAGCUCCUCUCAGCACUAUAAUAAAAAAGAAUGCAUGCAUAAGUAUUGUUGAGAAGAAACGUACUCGUGACCACCACAGGAUCUGCCACGGCUUCUUCGUGACCCAUUGCCAGAAUUCUCCUAACUCCACCAGCAUUUCCAGCUUUCAGACAAUCUCUUUUGAAAUGCCUAACGUCACCGCAUCCAUAGCAUGCUUGACCUACUCUAGCGGCAGGUACUUGGUUGAUCGGUUGGGGUAGUGAUCUACAGAAUCGGGCAGUAUGCCCUUUUCUGUUGCAGUUAUCACACUGCAUUUCCUGGCUAUUUCCAUUGUGGUGAAAAACGCACUUUUUACAUUUGGGGAGAUUACCAACAUAAGGCUUAGUUGGUGCAAGAUUAGUAGGAACAGCAGUAGGUACAGUAGCAACAUGGACCGCCACUAGUUGUUGCUUUUUCGAGAGUUCUUGUGAAGAUUUUCCAUUCCUCUUAUUCCAAACUUUCUUGUUGUUGUUGUUGUUAUUGUUGUUUCCCUUGGGUUGCUCUGGGCUAGCAAUCAUAGAGUUUUGACCAGCUCCAUGGUCAAUGAGCGACUGUUCCAGUUCCUUGGCACCGUCAAAGGUAACAGGCCUGGAAGCUAUGAAACUUGCCUGAAUCUGGGGUGACAGCCCCUAAAUAUACCUCUCUAUCUUUUUGCUCUCCAGAGCAACCAUUUCUAGAAAAAUUGUCGCUAAGUCACAGAAUCGAUUUGUGUAGGUUGUUAUGUCCGAACCAACCAUAGUAAGACCCCAGAGCUCUUGCUCGAGCUUCUGAAUUUCCCUUACGGACAGUACUCCCGCAUCAGUAUGGUCUUUAAGUUAUCCCAAAUUAUAGAAUUAGCCACUACUAGAGUCAGUGACUUAACAUGGCCGUUCCACCAUGUUAGGGCUCUAUCAGUAAAGGUACAAGUAGCAAACUUAACCUUGCUACCUUCCGGGCAGGAGCAAAUCUCAAAGAUUGCCUCUGUUUUCUCAAUCCAUUGCCUUCAUGCCAUGGCACCUCCAGUCCCGUUAAAGAUCAUGGGUAUGGCAUUCGAGAAAUCCUUAUAGGUAUACUCUCGUGAGUGCCCGUGACUCUCGAUGUGGUUAGAGGGAUGCACACCAACUCCUGAUCCACUUGCACCAGGGGUGUUUAUAUGAGACAUAGCGNGCCGUAACCGUCGCCUGAAACAUGGCAGCGUCGAAUUGAGGAGGUGGUGGCGGAGGUGGUGUUGGCGCAUCACUAGCAGGGUUACGCCUUGGGUUUCUCCCAGGAGGCAUAUUUUACUAUAAAAGUUAAUAGAUGAAAAGAUGGUAAGAUAUCAAGAGUGAACAUGAAUAUAAUAUCUUUGAACUAAAACACUUAGUUCAAUAAGAAUCUUGUAGGGAAUUAGAAAUAGAAGUCUACUGCAAGUACAAUUUGCAACAGGAUAAUAUGAAAUUGAGUGGUUAUUUUUCAUAGAGUAUGAAAAUGCAUGUCAAUUAUAAUGGUAUAUUGAGUACAUAGAGUUUGGAAAACUUGACCUUAUACAGGUCUACAAUACACUACAUUACUGGAAAAACAUCGACAUCAAACCGACCUAUCGAAAAUGAAAUUUCCGCGGUCGCACUGAAAAACAUGAAAAAUAACGAUAGAACAUAUUCGUAGAAUUAACUAUAAACAAAAGAGUAAACAGAGGGCAAGUAGAGUAUAAUUUAUUUCUUAAACCAAAAGAAAGGAUGAGUAGAGCAUCUUCUACUAGCGACAGACACCUCUAGGAUGAACCCUUAAUUCGGGCAGCCGACGCUCCACAUCAAGCAGGUGUCUUUCAUACACUGUUUGGCGUGUUCAGAGCUCUAUGACUUUAGCUCGAGUUGGAGCUAGCUCUUGCUGUAGAGCCUCAUUGUCUCUCAUAGCUCCCCUAUGAGCAAACUCAAGAUUGCGAAUCCGCAUCAAGCUCCAUGGUUUGUUGAAUGGUUGUCAUUCCUAGCUCAACAUUUCGAGCCACUCGGUGAAUCAAGAUGGGAAGAAUCCUGUCUGCAGAGUCUCCAUCACUUAGGUUGUAGAAGCUUCGGUCUUUGUUGUAGGGUAAGGGUUGAACCUGCUCCCGACUCCACCUACCCAAGUUCUCAGCCCACGAAGGCGUCGAGCCUUAGAAGUUUUGUCGUAGAUUAGGAUUCUGGGAAACUGGUGGUGGAUUAUAGGCCUCUUAUUCAGAACCAGAAUAUUCAGGAAAGUUUUCUGCAAAAUCAUCAUCUAAGGGGAUUUCAUGAUUUUCUUCUAGCUCAUCCUCAAGCCAUCCUCCAUUUCCCUGAUUGGGAAAGUACGGGUCUCUGGGUAGAUGAAAUCCAGCCAUUGAUAUCUAAUCGAGAAUAGGGAUAAGAGAUAUAGAAUAUAAUUAGUAACGAUAAAUCGUAAAAAAAAGUUUCUACGAGAGAAACUAACAAAUAAUGAAUUAUGUAUGACUUGAUCUACGUGCUACUAUAACUACAAAGUGUAUACUAAUUAUAUAUAACUUGGGUAUAAUCGACCUUUGAUUAAAUGUUCAUGGUCUAAAUCCACAACCACUGGCGACAUAUGCUGGUCAAGACCGUAAAUAUGAAUAGUCAUAAGGAAAUCAUGAGCAUGUGGAACCCUUAUACACUCAAAAAUUGCUUUCUGCUUAAUCGUCAUGUCGAAGUGAACUUCCAUGUCUUGGACAAUUUUACUAAAAAGGGCACUCUCCAAUGAAUGUUGGGCUUUUGGAGGGGCAGUGUCCUUAUUAAUGAAACCGCUGAAAUCAAAGCCUAGAAUCGUAACACGAAGACAGGCCAAAGCAGAAACAUAAUCUGAAUUCAUACCACAUAUGCCGCUAUUUUGAAAGAUGUGGUCUUGUCACGCCCACGAUUGAGCUCGUGAGGCAACAAAAGCAUAGGAGGAAGCAUCAACUGCUGAGUACAACCCCAAACCACCGAGCCUAAUUGUUAACGAAGCCAGUCGCCAUUGAAGGUCCCCAAAGAACGGACCCCCAUAAACCACAAUGUCCUAAUUUGACCCACGUAUCCCUUUAUCAAAACACAAAGCAGCCUCUUCCAUAUGAACGGGUUGGCACGUUCUCGGGCCAAAGAAAAGUUUGGCAAUGCCCAUACAAGAUCAAAGUAAAAGGAGUUCACUCUGGGGAUCAUGUAACUGUGGUAGAAGGCGCAUCAAAUCUGUCACACCCCCAAACCCGACGGUGGAAACGUCCGGGGGUGGAUGACUUCAUUUGUAGUAUCACAACACAUGUAUCAUAGUAAUCAAAGUACAAACAACCAUUGCAUUAAUAUGUAUAAGUUUUUACAUGUGAUCAAUCAUUGUAUACUGAAAACAUAAUAGUUAUACAAAAGAAGAAGACAUGACUCAAAAUAGCUCCAUCUUCUCAAAAGCUCGGGGAGUGCCUGUCUAUUGAUUCCCUGAGAAUACAAGUAAUUUGAAAAGAGAGUAUCAACAUAAAGUUGAGUGAGUGCAUAAGUAUUUAUGUUUGAAAGUAUGUUUUCUGUUUCUUGAAUAUGAAAACUGUUCCAGAAAAUCCUAUAUUUUCUGUUUUAAGUGGAAAGUAGUUUUAAUCUCAUAAAACCGUUCUGUUUGUAAACCAAUGUUCUGUAGUUGUAUUCCUUUAUGUAAAACUUAUAACUGUGAGUGUGCCUGGUUCCCCCAUCUGUUAUUGUAAACUGUGACGUAAUACUGUAAAUUGUAUCCUAUAACUUGUACUAAGAAAAUGUACUUAUGUUUAGUUAAUUAUACACUAACGUAUUGUUAAUAUCUUUUUAAUGAGUUAUUAUAACCAUACUGAGACUAGAUGGCCUGACCCAACGCUUUGAAGGCAUCAAAAACUGUUGAUAACAACUGUCACUCGUAGGCAUGUAUGCCUGACUGUAGCUAGCAGUCCGAGUGCGGGGUUGUCAAUCCCAAUAUAGAUCUAUACACACAUUGUUUUGAUCCCCGGGUGGAGAUUCUGGUUAUAAUGUUAGGACUUUAACUAUGUUGUUUAAAUGAAUUAAACAACCUGAACCAAAUUACUCAUAAAAAGCAUAUAGACGUUACAUGUAUAAUAGUUAUGAAAACCCAAUCAUUCUGAAAUGAAUGAUUGAUAGUAUGCCCCUGAAUUAGUAUAUGAUAGUUGUAUACUCUUGUUUAGUUUUAAAUCAAACCUUUGUUCUUGUAAACCAGUGUACUUUAGUAUACCUGAAUCGUGAAUUAAUAUUCUAUGAAUCACAAAUUAUACCUAUUAUAAUUUAUAUGUACUUUCUGAAUUGAUACUAAGUGUUCAUGAAUGCAACCUUUCGCUCAACAUGUUACAAAGGGGUAUCUAAAUUGAAUGAAAUAUCUUUUAUAUUUAUAUACAUAUACAAUUAUAUAUAAAAAAAAAUUAAUCGACAUUCAGACAAAUAACUGAAAAGGAACCAAAGUGAGUUAUCAGUCCUAAGCCUCUUAAACCUUAUUUGUAUAAAUAUAUUUAUAUAUAAAUAUGAUUUCUGGGGAAAAAUAUCAGUUUAUAAAAUCAGUUAAACGAAGUUUAAUAUUUUGAAAUACAUUUGGUGACUUGAUGUCAUUUUAACAUAAUCUUUGAAACCAAUUGAUUUGAUGAUAACUGAAAUUCAUUUUGAUAAGAUAUUUUGAAACCAUUUGUUUAUAACACAUAAUCUUUGUGUUAAACUUGUAUCCCCCCCUCCCUUAAAACAGUAAAAACUAUGAAAAUACGGGGGUAUGAACUCACCUUUUGGAGGGUGAUUCAACUGAUGAAUUGAUAUAGGAUGCUAAGAAUGCCAAGUGACGUCUUAAACACAAAUGGAUCCUAUUAACCAUAUAAUGAUACAUAUAUGUGUAUAAUUAGUGUGUAUAACAACUAAUCAUGUAAGGUAAACAACCUUAGGUGUUAGGAAACACUUGAAAUGAAGUGUUACAAUCACAUAUGAUUGAAAGAAAGGAGUUCACGGCCACACUAUACGUGUUUACGGCUAUAGAGGUGUUUACGGCCACACACAUGAAGUGUUUACGGCCAAGACUUGUUCUUAUGAAGGGUUUACGGCCACCUCAAGAUCUUAUGAAGGGUUUACGGCCACCUCAAGAUCUUAUGAAGGGUUCACGGCCAUGGAUGAAGGGUUUAUGGUCAUGAACUCUUGAAGAUCAUGCACUUGGGUGUUUGUUUCUUGGCUGGAAUCAAGUGUUUCUAAUGUAUAACAAGAUAAUAGAAGAGUUACUCAUGUUUUGGAAGUCUUUAGGGAGUUUACGGCCCAAGAACAAGUGUGUGGUCUUGGUGUUCUUGGUGUAAAGGAUGAUGACUUGAAGAUCUAAACCAAAAGUGUUGAAUUCAUGGAUGAAAUCAAAGAGUUUCAUGUGAAUAAGAAGGAUAUCAAGUGAAUAUGGUAGAAUCACUUAGGAUUUUGAAGAGAAAGGAGAGUGUUCUUGAUGAUACUUGAGAGAGUUUUGAGAAUUCUUGACUUGAAGAUGUGAGAAAUGAAGAAUAAUGACGGAACACCAUACUUAUGAUGAGGAUUUCACGGCCAUCAUGAGUUCACGGCCGUAAACCCUCGUUUGCGGCUGUGAACUCUUUAUGAAGGUGUUUCCGACUCAAUUGCAACUCAAUGAUCUCAAGUUAAUACUUUCUAACACACAAUCCUUGAGUGUACUAGGCUUAGAACUCUCAAACAGACCCUUAACAAAGCUAUAAGUUAACAGAAACAAGUCUGACUUUUGAUUGAAUUGAUUGGCUUUACAAGAUAGAAAAAUAAUGGGAUGUUACAAAAUCAACAGCCUUGGCAGCCCUCUUCAUGGCUAACUCACUAAUAAAAUCCGCAUCUCUACUAGCAGCUCCCCCAAGAAGCUUCACCCCCACUGACGGUCACCCAAUAUCAAUAGGGAAUAAACCUGUACGAAGCUUCCUACCAUCGCAUGAAGGCCAAAAUAGCUUAGUUUUCUUGAUAUUCAGCUCAAGCCCCAAUCCUAGGCCUACCACCCUAAUGAUGUCCAAUACUCUAGCCAGCUCCUCUAAAUCUCUAGUGACGGUCCCAUCAUCGAGGUACCAAGCAUGAAGAAGAAGCUUGCAAUUGUCUCUAAUUUGAUGUAUAAGUGGGUGCAGUACAAGAGCAAAAAGAAGUGGUCCCAAAGGGUCGCCUUGCUAGACCCCAGUAGUGGACCAAAUAUGCUUAUCUCCCAAAUACAACCUUGUUGCAUGUCCAUAUAAGAAUUCAACCCAUAAGGAAAUGGAAGGGCACCUAAUCCUGACCUCAUGAAGUAAGUAAGUUCAAUCCACUAAAUUUAAGGCAUUCAAGAAAUCCACAGUAAGCAUAGCAAGAGAUCCAUCAUCAUGACGUGCACUCAACGCCCUACUGACACUAUGAAUUAUAGCUUCAGCGCCACCCGACACACCUACUCCAAAUUGAAAGUCAUUAAGGUAUUGUGCCAUUUCUUUACCAACUCCGUUCAUAGCAACCUUUGAGACCAAACGCCUCCAUAUAGUGCCUAUAGCAACAAGGCGGAUUUCAUUGUCAGGUUUUAGGAGCGGAGUAAGAGGUGCAGAUGCUACAAAUUCUGCUAGACAUGACAGACAUCUUCCCCUAGCCACAGAUUAACCAUUGCGGUGUUGGCAUGUAAUAGAUCUGUAGCUAUAGCAAACCCUUCCCCACAUAGAGCGUCCAAAAUGUGUUGAGCUCUCAAGCCGUCUCUCCCACACGAAGUUCCUUUAGGAAACAAUUUAAUACAACCAAUGACAUUGUCAAUGUAUACUAUAAGGGAAGGCUCAGAAUAAAUGGUGCUCGACAUGGAUGCUUAGCCUCUAAAGCUUUGGUAGUGUCACUAUCAUGUGAAGCAACACUCAAGGAGAACAACACUUUCACUGUUGCUGUAAAAUGUCCAUCAGCAACCUUACGGAGACACUGUCUGACGUUGGUGUUGCCCUUAGUUCUACCAUCUUGAAAGUGUUCAGCUUUUUGGCCCGAUGAGCCAAGACCUACAUUGUCAGACAUAUUUUCAACUAAUGUGACAAUACUGUCCUCUUUGCCCCAUGUAGCUAAAGAAUUCAAUAUGCAAUGAUUUUGUUCCCAGACCUACGUUCUUGUCUGUUAUUAGGCAUGAACACUUGCAAAGUACAUCAGGGAAGAAGCAAUAGCCUAACCCAUGAUUCCACAUACUCAGGGUGAGCGGCCACCUUAUUAAGAGUUGUUUGCAACACUUGAUAGAAAGCCACACAACAACUAUGAGGGAUACUUUUGAUGGUCGUGAUAGGCGCCUUGAAAACACGAUCAAGCAGUUCAGCAUCUAAAGCCAUCCCUCCAAGUGCUACGGUUUCAUUCCCUAUGGAAGCUGUCUAAAGUAUCCCUUUUCUAUAAAGCAUCCAAAGCCAUCCCUCCAAUUGCUAUGGUUUCAUGCCCUAUGGAAGUUGUCUAAAGCAGCUCAACUUGAUUGCUUUCAGUCGGUUAUUUUUCUGUAAAUAUCUGCAAGUCAUUUACAAAUACUAGAUUAGCAUUUAAGUACCAAUUAGUUGAGUGUUAUAUGAAAAGUAUAAGUUCUAUCUAGUAGAUACCUGAAGUACUAGUCUCUUCCAAACUUUCUUUCUAGGUAAGAGGAACAGUUCCUCUUCUAAUGUCCAGUUUCUCCACAAAAGAAACAACAUCCAUCUAUGUGGGCCUUAUUGGAUUUCUUGGGCUUAAAAGUGUUUAUUCCAUAAAACAUUGGCCUUUUUGAUCAUUUUAGUCUUGCACUAUUCUAAUGUUAGAACAAAAUAUCACUGUAUUUAUUGGAAUAUUGUUUAACAUGUUAUAUCANNNNNNNNNNNNNNGACUUCUUGGAAAUCAGGAAUAACUAUUCCAAGUUUAAUGUUAUAAUCAUCUUUAGCAUCACAGUGAUGCCUUUACUAGGUGUCAUGUUCAGGUUUAUUGCUCAAACCAAGUUGUUUAAGACUGACCUUUAAGUGUAUACAAUUCCACAUCUCUCACGAGAUUGUCUCUCAAGACAUCAACCCAUUCAUUGAAGUUGUAUCUAUUAAAUGUUAUUAUUUCAUUAAGCCAUUAAAGAAAAUGACAAUUCAUGGUAAUGAGAAUGGAUUAUUUUUCUACAAAAUUUUAACAAAAUUCAUUUAGUAUUUUUAAUAUGUAAUCUUUAAUAAUUAAUACCAUUUUAGUUUCCAAAAACAUUAAUUAUCAAAGUCUAGGAAUCAAGUUGCAAAAUAAAUGAAUGGUUAGGUAGCCUUUAUCUCAUGCAUUUGAGUUCAACCUGAUAGAUAUCGCUUAUCAAUUAUAUCUUACUAUAUAAAUCCCAGACUUAUGGGAUCGCUAAUAACAAAUUUAAUUAGACAUGUUUGAUCCCAUCUAUGCCUCGAAACUCUCUUUCUUAGGUAUCCUUUAUCACAAAAGAUUGCCAAUCAAAUCAUCUAAUUUAAAAAAUAUGUGUAAUCAUCCUAUAACUUGGUUAUAGAUAUAGCAAAGACACCUCGGCGAUCAAAAGAUAACACUAAGCGGUUACGUGUCAUUUAUCCUACUAGUGCAUACAAGAGAUGUGCGGGUGUUCUUCAAAAUGGAAUUCAUAGAUUUGAGGUUUGUAAAGGGUCUUUUAUAUGUUUUAUAAUUCUAGUUUUAAAAACAUAUGGUGUCAUGGUUAUUACAUGCAUGUAAUAAGCCAUGGUACAAAUUUUCAAAAGAAAAACAUUUUUAAAAGUUCAAAUAUAACAUCCGGUUUUAUAUUUUGACGAGGUUCAUUUUUAACGAUAAUAUCCAAUAUUAAGUUUGAGUUUGAUCCAUAUAGAACCUUAUUUAUUACUUAAUAAAACUUCAUUUUAUUAUUAAUAUGAUGGAGUUUGAGUAAGUUAUAAAAUCACCAUUUUAGACUUAUAAUUUUACAAUUUCAAAAUUUGAUGUUAUUAACAUUUUAAUAAAACUGGUUUUUAUUUUAAAGUUAUAACUUGUUACAUCUUAUGUUCUCAUUUUCUAAAUUGAAAACCAAACUCCAUGUGAUGUUUAUUUUGUCCAAAAAAUAGUUUGAGUUUGUGAAAAGCCAAAUUAUCAACCACACAAAAUAUUUACUUGAAAAAUGAAAAAUAAACAACACAAGAAUGCAUUUAACAUAAACAAACAUUGAUCUAGUUAACACUUUUGUGAGCCAACACAAAAGUGUUAAGUCAUUCCUAAGGGAUAAAGGGACCAAAUAUAACAACUUGUUCUUCAUGUGAUCUUCAAGCUCUCACUUGCAAUGACAACCAAAUUUGUUGCAAUUUUAUAAAGAUUUUAUAAAAGUUAUGAACUUUUAUAAAAUGUUCAUAAAACCGUGGGUCUCCAUGGUUCUUCAAGAAAUGACCUCCAUCUUCAUCUUGUUACAUAUUUUAUAAAAUAAAUCUAGUCUAAAACUAAUCUAUUACAUAAAAUAACAAGAAUAAAAAGUAGCUAUUAUUAUUAGAUAUUUUAUGAAUAAAAUAAUAUCACAAACCAUUUUUAACCAAAUCACACAAACAACAACACAAAUGGUCCAAUGCUUGUUUAUGCACUAUAAAAAUACAUAUAAAAAUAAAACAACCUUUGUUUUUAUAAGACAACUUUAAGUGACAAAAAAUACAUGUAAGUUUUUGUCAUAUAAAAUAACAAGUAAGAAGUUGUCAAAGAAAAUAUUAUGAACUUAUUUUUAUGCAAAAACAAGUUAUCCAUAUUCUCCAAAAACUAAGAUUUCCAAAAAUCAUAAAUUCUAACCAAACUUGUAAUGUGUCUCUGAUACUAAUUGUUGGGUUUUUAUUCAAAAAUAGUUUCAAAAAACACAAGAUAUUGGAAUGGAAGACUUUGAUUUUGAACAACAUAAAACAAGUUUAUAACCAAUCAUGGAUCUUCUUGCAAAGUUUGGAAUUAAAACAAGCACAAAAGAAGAAGAAGAAGAAGAGUUUAACAACCUUUGUAGACUUUGGAUCCUCUAAGGGAGGCUUGGAAGUUGAUGGAGAAUGGAUGAACCUUUGAGACACCAACAAUAACUCGACUUAAUUUAAGAUGAUGGUAUUGUAAAACUCUUAAGCUUUAAGUUUAUAACCAAUGUAUGAACUUAAAGAGAGAAACAUGCAGGUGUUCUUUCAAGUGUAAAAGCAAAAACAUGAGAGAAUGAGUAUGCCAAGCAUACUCAUGGUUUUGGCAUGUAAAAAGAUCAAAAAUAAAAGUCUUUCAUGCACUCUCUUAAAUUUAAAACAAUAUACAUGAGUCCUUAACCAAUUAAGCACACAUGUCAAAAAAAGAACUUAUCCUCUAUGUCUUUAAGAAAUAGCCAUGUUUUUUAUUAAACAAAUCAAAAGGUCAUGUUUCUUUUAUUCUUUCUUAUAAAUAAAGAAGAUAAAAGUUUAUAAAUUUUGUAAACUUCUUUUAUAAAAUAUAAAGUUUGGCUUUUGGCUAAAAGACAAAAGUCUUUCUAGUCCAAAAUAAUGUACAUGACUUAAUAAAUCAUAACAUAUGAUAUAUUAUGUUACUUGCUAAUAAAAAAUUAUUAUUUCCAAGAAUUAAAUAAUUUUCAAUUAAUUAUAAGAUUUUAUUGAAUAUUUAUUAAAAUCAGUUUCUAAUAAAUAAUAAAUUAUAUCAAGUUAUUAUUAGUGUGACCCAUUAGUAUCAUAUGUUAAUUAGCAAUAUCAUUUUAAUAUGAUUCUUGAGCAUACAAGAUCUUUCAAAGAUGAUUGUGUAGCUUAAUGGAUUAAGGGAUUAAUCUAUUAAGUUUUCCAAGAUCAAUUUAUACGACGUGGCUAUAUGUUCACCACUUCGUGACAUAUGAAGUUCUCGUAACCGUUUUGUCCGGAGAUUGCCACGUCGUGGCAAAUGAUGGGUCACGACAUAGUGGCCAACAAAGUUGUCUUUUGGGGUGUUGACUUUCACCGUUGAUCAUUUACUUUUUGAACAAUUUGACUUUUGGUCAAACCUUGGUAGAAUUGAGUGUUUAUCUAAGAUCUAGUCUCGGUUUCACAUUAGGUAGCUUGUGUUAGUUGUUCUGAUUGUCGAGGUUUGUUGUUAAGCUUCUGCUAGAUAGCUCAGGUGAGUUUUCUCACUAUACUUUUUACUACAAUAUGUUUCCUUGUGUGUAGAGUGUUGGUAUGUUUUAGUGAUCUGUUUGAUUGAUAUAUCUGUUAUGAUUACUUGUAUUGCUCACUAUUAUCUAUUUAUUUGUUUAUGUGCAUAUGUCUAUAUAUUGUGGUUAGUGGGGUUGAGGCGGUCCUACUUUGUGUUGUAGGUCAAGACACUCGGGCAGUCCAGUGUAUUGUAGGCCUUGCGAGGUGGUCCAGUCAGACUGUAGGCCCAAGGGAUCAAUCUAGCUAUUGUAGGCCUUGCUAGGUGUGCCAGUAGACUAUAGGCUCGGUAGAACAGUCCAGGCAUCCUGUUAGCCUUACGAGGCAGUCCAGGCAAACUGUAGGCUCAUGUGUGCAUGCAUUGUAUGUGUAUUGUUGUAUGAGGUAUUUUGGGGGAACUCACUAAGCUUUGGCUUAUAGUUGUGGAUUCAAAUGUUUUUCAGAUACUUUUCAGAUUUUGAAGGCGGGACUGUACACACGCACAUCAAUGAUUUUAUGUUUCGAGAUUCCGUAAUGUUUUCCUUAUAACUCUAAUUUUGAAUUAUGAUUUAUGAACAAAUGGUUUGACUGUUAAUGUAACUUUAUAAAAUGGGUGUUUAUUCUAUUCCAAAAAUGAAAAAUUUUACUAUGGUUUUGGGAUGUUACACAUGUAACAUAAACACAUAACAUAUAUUAGCAUAUUACAUACCCUUGGUAAUUAGUCCUCUCUAAUUACCCUGCAAUUAACCAAUUCUUUAAUAAGUCCUUCGCUAGUCAAUUAUACAAAUCUUGGUAACUGGCCUUUCCCAGUUACCCUAACCAAACAUAACUCCUAAUAGUAUCAUACAAACAACAGGCAAGACCCUACCGGUCUAGCAUACCAUGACACCAAGUGUCCUAAACUACACAUGCAUAACAAGGAGUUAUCCUAGUAAACUAGAUAUCGUACUCUAACAAUACCUCUGUUCUACCAUGCAAAGGAUAUACAGUGGGAUACGUGGCAUAGUGAGAAACUCACCUGAACCGAAGAAUCGGAGAAGCACAACAACACUCUCAUUCCUUGCACUGACCAAUCCCACAAACCGACUAAAACCAAAUAAAGAUCAAUCCUCAAUUAAGAACUCAAUUCCUUCAAGUUUAACUUAAGGUCAAACUGGUAAAAAGUCAAUGUUCAAUGGUCAACAAAAUUCAACGGUCAACCAAGGUUAACAGCCACCUCUUAGUUGUGCAGAGUCGCGAGGCUGAACCCCACCAUGACCUGGUGACCUCUUGUCCACGUAGUGGUUAUUGCUAAAAGUCAUUCUCAUUAAGAGUUUAAUCCUUACAGAUCAAGGCUCAAACUUCCAGAUAUGAUUCUUCUUAGUAAUUUAAUAGAUAAAGUUUCCAACUUUAUCCAUUAGGACCUUACCACAAGUCAAGAUCUUAAACCCUAAGUCAAUAAGUCCUUAAUAUGACCAAAACAUGUGCAUUGAACAAAGGGGACCAUGAGUUAACACUUUUUCCAUCAUAUAAGGCCAAAAGAUGGUCACCAAACAAGCCUAAGGUUCUAGAGUUUCCUAAAACUCCAAGAACAUUCCUUUAAAGUACUUCAAGGCAUGAAAUAAGAGAAUAGAAUGAUAAACGCGGAGGCUUUAUACCUUCCCAAGUUCCAUAAGAUGCACGAGAUGCAAUAUCUAAAGUAGAUACACUCUUCCAAUUAGCAAUCACACAUUUUUCUUCUUCUCAAGGUGCAAUCCAAGGCUUCAAACGUCAAGAACUCCAAGAACACAUCAAGAACGCUCAAAUGAGGCUAGGGUUUUCGAGAUAGAAAGGUGGAUGCUGAAGAGAAUGACCUAACCCUAAAGUUAAGGUCAUUAAAUAUGAAGGAAACCCUAAAAAUUGUAGGCUUGACCUGCAUCAGUCGUUAUGUCGUGGUGUCCAUCAGGACACGUGUCACUUUAGUCUCAUUCCACGUCGUUGUCAUCAACCAACCACAUGGUGGCAUAUGUUUUUUUUCUUUCCAAAAACCACAUCUUUGUCCUCCUUAAAUCUUUUUAAUUAGUCCGAUCUCAAAAAAGGAUGUGAUAGUAGUUACUAAAAUUUUAAUACUUUAUAAGUUCCACAUUCCUAAAAGAAUUCCCAACUAGUUCAAUCGUGUGGAUUAAACCCAUGCCUAUAAAAAAUAAAUCAAGUGAGUUAACGAACUAUCAUGAAAAAAUUUCUAUCAGUUUUCUCAUGUACUAUACCUGCUGCAUUAAGUACAUACAUAAGUAGCAAGACCGACAUGCUACAACGAACACAACCAUUUACGUAAAAGCGAUGCAUGUGAACAGUGAACUCUUCACCAUAUCCCCGUUUCAAAUUAAUCCCUUUGUCCUUCAUGCUACAAAAUUUAGUAAUUAGUAUCAAGCAUUAACAUUUGUACUUCACGUAUUAAGUCUUGUAAUUGACACGUGUCGAGAUAGAAGUAUGAUGAAUGAUUUAUUUUAUCCAAGAAUGUUCAAAUGAUAGCCAUGAUACAAUCCUUAGCCUGACAACCCUCAUGGAAUCUGUGGCCAACGUAACACUCCCGUGAAUGAUUUGGGUCGCAUUUGCCUACUUUGGAGCUACUCACAUUUCCAACCAAUAUACCAACAAAAUAAUAUGAUUAUUAAAGUGGCUAGCUUCAACCCAUGCUACCAAAAUAGUGAAACUCCAAAAAUUAAAAGGUUGUUAAUGAUUAAAUAGAUAAGAUUAAAAGUUCAACCCAUGCUACGAAAAUAGUGAAACUCCAAAAAUAAAAAGGUUGUUAAUGAUCAAAUAGAUAAGAUUAAAAGAUUGAUUAACGAAAGAAUAAGUCAAAUAGUUUGAAAACCACUUGAAAAAUAUGCAAGUGCUUUAAAGACCUUAUUUUAUUGAGAAAAUAAUCAUAAUAGCCAAAAUUUCAAGGUUUUUCUACAAAAUGGCAAAAAAAUGAAAAAAAAUUCACGUAUGAAAUCAUUUUUAUUUUCCAGUUUCAAAUAUUCAUAACUUUUUCAUAUUUUAUAGAAAUUUUUUGAGCUAAAAUGUUUUUUAUUAUGCUCUUUCUAACAACUUUCUAUGGACAUAUUACAUUUUAAAUUUGGAUGUUGCAAAAUCAUAUUUUAUUAACUUCAAAGUAGACUAUUUGGUGAAAAAAAUAUUAAAAAAACAAACAAGCAAACAAAGUUAACUUUUGAUCAUUCAUAAAUUUUGCAUACAAACUUCCUUUGGAUUGAUUUUUUUUUAUUGUGUUCUUUGUAACAAAGGAUAUUCAUAAACAUAUUACACUCCUAAUUUGGAUGUAAGGAAAGUCAAAUUUUUGUAACUCCAAACUAGGUUAUUCGAUGAAAAAAUAUGAAGAUUUGUUUUAUAAAUUUCGAAUAUAGACUUCAUAACAAUCACCGGGCCAUCUCGAUCAAUCACAAUAGUGAACUGAAAAAAUCUCAAAAAAAAAUGGAGGAACCUAGAUUUUAAUAGAUGGUGUCUGCGAAAUUGUGGCCAUUAUAGUUAAUUUUAUCUGAUUUUUGCUUAUUUUGUAGAAAAAAAACUUAGGAAAUUUGGUUAUUAUGUUUUAUUUUGUUUGUUGUAAUAUAAAAAAAAAUGUUAAAUGACAGUUAAUACUAUGUCGUCUAAAUUUCAUUCAGUUUGAUCUUUUGUCGACGAAUAUGUUUUUACCAAAAAAAUAUCACUAAAUGUUUCAAGACAUAAAUGUCAACUCAAGAGACUGAAAAACUUAAAUUAAAUCCAAUAAUUCAAAAGAACAGUAGUAGAAUCUGGAAGUUAGUAACUUAGUAUCAAAUAAAGAUAAAUUAUAAUAUCUUAUUAUUUGGGUAAAUUAUAAUACAAAAAUUAUAAUUAAGCAGAAAUUAAAAAAAAAAUGAGAAAUUAAAUAUUCUCCUACUUUUUGUUCCUAUAUAUCCUCCUACACCAUAAAAUGGUGACAUGUGUAAUAAUUAAUGCUCAUUUAAUGAGAUUUAAUGAUAUUUUAGGAUAUUAAUAUAACACAUAUCAUCAUUUAAAUGGGUAGAAGGAUUGAUAGGAUAGAAAAAUAUUAUUAUCAAUAAAAAAAAUAUUAAAUAGAAAUAAACCGAAAAUAAUCAAAAUUUGUUAUCAUUAAAUAAAAAAGUCUAAAUUUCGGAACAAAUUUAAAGAUCGUGAGUUCCAAUAUUAAUUUAUGUCAAAACUGUUUCUUUUGCGGUUACGAUGUUUUUUUUACAAUAGCUGAAUAGCUCAUUCACUGCUAGUUUGGUUUGGAGUUAUACUGGUUUUUGCAUGAUUGACAUAAUGAAUCCAAACCCUCGUGAAUAAUUCCCCUAUAAAAACAACUGCUUCUUCACCAGUAGAACUUACACAAUUUCCAGAAUGUCUUCAUGGGUUUCAUUCAUGGUGGUGCUCCUUUGUUUCUCCAUUAAUGGCGUCGCGGAUGCCAGACACCGGAAACAGCUGCACUCUCCAGCCAUUGUCGUCGGAACUGUCUAUUGUGACACUUGCUUCCGUCAAAAAGUAUCCAAAUCCACCCAUUUCAUUUCAGGUUCUUGUCGUUCAUCUUGUGAUAUGUACGUAUAUUGGUUUAUCUAGGGGGUUUUUUUUGUUAAUGGGUGUUGUAUUGUUUGUUUAGGUGCGAAGGUGGCGGUGGAAUGCGGCGGCGAUGGUGGGAAGCAGAGUUUCCGGGUAGAAGUGAAGACGAACGAGAAGGGUGAGUUUGAAGCUAAACUGCCGGUUUCAGUUGGUAGAAGUGUGGAGAAAAUCAAAGGGUGUUCAGUGAGAUUGAUUAGCAGCGGCCAGCCGUACUGUGCGGUGGCUGCCACCGCCACAUCGUCGGAGAUUCGUUUUAAGUCGAAGAAGGCGGGGACUCAUGUUUUCUCAGCUGGGUUUUUCACUUUUAAGCCCGAAUUGUGUAACCAGAAAGAUACUAUCGGAAAAGGUUUUCCACCGGCGCUUCCUGAUAUUCCUGCGCCGUUCUUGCCGCCGAUCGGUGGAGGUAUUUUACCUCCUCUUCCGGUGCCGGAUGUACCCAUGCCACCUCUAAUUCCCCCGCUACCACAGCUCCCUGGUAUUCCACUUCCACCUGUUACCCGCCAAAAAUCAUCGGAAUCCGAUAGAUUGGCCGAUCAAAAAAGUUUUGGUUUCCCGUUUCCACCGCCACUGUUCCCACCGCUGCCGUUUGUGCCAUCGCCGCCGUCAUUGAUUCCUCCCGUCAUUCCAACACCACCACCGUCACUGUUCCCUCCCCUCGUUCCAUCAACACCACCAUCAUUGUUUCCUCCCCUCGUUCCAUCACCACCAUCAUCGAUGUUUCCACCAUUGCCCUUUCCACCUGUACCAGGUUUGAUUCCAUCACCGCCGCCGCCACCACCGCCGGCGUUCCCAAUUCCUCUGCCUCCACUACCUCCGCUACCUCCGCUACCUCCAGUACCUCCGGUACCAGGAGUCCCACCGGCGAAAACCUCCCCUUGAUUAAACUCGUAUAUAUUUAAUAUUAUUACUGCAUAACCUUUUGAAGUAACCUUUCCAUACAUACGCGCGUAUUACAAUUAUGGGUAUUGUAAUUGUAGCAUGAAUAAAUCGUACAUGGUAAAAUGGUUGGGAUUC